rnacentral:lncRNA from 1 species
GUUAACAAUAUCUGGAGGCAACCUACAGGGAAAGCUCAGGUUCCCAAAAUAUAAUGAUAAAAUGAAUUCAAUAGUGAUUUCAAAUGUGGAACAUCUUAACCUCGCAGGCAACAGCCUCUCAGAUGAAUGUCUCCCAAUACUUCUCAAGUGGUUUGUUAAUGUGACAUUUCUAGAUUUAUCCUGUAACUACAAUUUCACAAUUCUUCCCGAGUGCCUUGGUGAAUGUCACUGUCUUAUGCAUCUUAAUUUGAUGUUUUGCUUGGCUCUUGUGGAAAUUAGAGGGAUUCCACCAAAUCUUGAAAUUCUUUUUGCAGUCAUUUGUUAUUCAUUGAGUUCCUCAAGUAUAAGAAUGUUAAUGAGUCAGGUUUGUUGUUUUUUUAUUGCACUAGUAUUUGACAUAUAGUAUUUCAGUUCAUAGUGUAAUUAUUAUUCUUUUUAUAUAAAUUAACAGAAACUACAUGAGUCUGGAUGCACCCAUAUUCUAUUCCCAAACACAACGGAUAGGAUUCCUGAUUGGUUUGAGCACCAAAGCAGGGGAGACACAAUUUCUUUCUGGUUUGAUAAAGAACUCCCUUCUAUUAGCUUUACUUUUAUUCUUAUUAGUCAGGGGGACUACAUGUUACCAAUAGUCAAAUUCUUUGUGAAUGGCUAUGAAAAAGAGAUAAGUUGCGACGAAUUGACUAGGGAAUUCGGUGAGCUAGUGGAUGAUGACACUGUGUUGGAGAACCAUACAACUUUGUUGCAUAUAAAAUUGGAACAAGAUAAUGAACUCGGUGAAAGACUUUUGAAAAAUGAAUGGAUCCAUGUGGAGUUUAAGUUACAGGAUUAUUAUUGGCACGCUGAGAGAAGAUUAUUCAGAAAUACGCAAAUGGGAAUCCACGUGUGGAAGGAGAAAAGCAACAUGGAGGGGGGUGUGAGAUUCAUUGAUCCUUCAUUAUCACAAUUUAUGCAAAGAUUGGUGGAAGUGGGAGUUUCAGAGAAAGGGGAGGAGGAGGAGGGUUUUAGUGACACGGAGGAGGAUGUAAUAUUGAAGAAUCCUAAUAAUAGAAAGACUUGGGGUACAUUCCUUAGUCUAGGUGCAUCAAAAAGCAACACGGAUGGGGAUGAGAUUGAAAUAUUAAGCAGUGCACAAGAUGAAAGAAAGAUGUGGGGUACAUUCCUCGGUUUAGGUCCAUCAUAAAGUUAACCGUCUUCUUGUUAUUCUCUCAAUCUCAACAUUGCAGGUUUGUGCUUUGAUGUUUAUACUUUGUAUAAAUGUUGAUUAAUUUCUGUAUGUAGUCAGUUACAAAUUCAAUGUUUCUAGUUGGAGAAGUUUCUUAAACCAUGAGACAUGAUGUAAGUUUCUGUGUGUCUAACACCGAUACAUGUAAUACUAUUAAACUAUAUUAUUAUCUCAAAGGACUACCAAUGUCAACGAAUCAGUGUCGGUGUCUAGUUCGGUAUCCAUGACUGUGCUGAUGCUUCAAAAUGUCGAAAUGAAAGUUCUGAGUUUGCAAGUGCUUAAAGGUCAACAAGUAGAUUGUCUUACCGUAACUAUACACAUUUCGUAAACUUGUAUUGAUCUCAUUAAUUAUGAUUCAAAUUAGAACUUUUAUCUCAUAUCUCAUCUAACUAAUGGCACAUGUUUUCAGUGUAACCUAUAAAUGUAUGGAUAAUUUAAGUAGUACAUGCAUUUUUAACUUUUUUGAUGAAAUUUAACGUGACUGCAAUUGAAACAUGAUACACAAUUGAUCAAAAUUCCACUAGCUUAUAAGCCCGCACGAGUUUUACAAUGAGCUAAAUGGUUUGUCGAAUAAUCAAUAUCGAUCUUAUCUGUUGCAGCAUAACUCUAUUGUGUUACCCAUCACAUCUAUUUGAAUGCUUGUUACCUUCAGAGAGGAGAAGCCAUAGCUAUCAAAUUGAAUUUUUAUUUAGCUAUUACAUAAGGAUGAUUCAGAGGCAUCAGAAUCCAUCUCUCGCGGCCUUCAGCUACAACCCUUUAGUCCAGAAAUUUUAGAAGGUGUGGUGUAAUUGAACGGAUCCAAGAUUAAUGUUGUUACAAGUAUGAUUCUUAUAUUUUUAAAGAAUAAAUGCUUUUAAUCAUAAUCUGAAAAAGAAAUUGAUUAUUAUGCCAAAGUAAUAUAUUUCUACAUUUGUCAGGAAACCAUUUGCAACUGCCUUUCUUUUUGCAUUGUCAUACGAGAUGUCUAGAGGUGGUGGUUCACACCACAAAAUUCGUUCAAAAGGGAAUCAGGUAAUCAUAUGCUUUGCAGCUCAGUUGUACUUUGGUGUUUCCACAUUGGGUAUGAAUUGAUCAUUUCACAUAAUCCUUCUACAGCUCGACAUAUUUCAUUUCGUUCUAACCAUGCCUUCCGCUGGUGAGGACUUAUGUUUAGAUUAUUUCUGUAAUGAUCAUGAAAUGUCCCUUCUCCCCAAAAAUGCGGCAAAAACAGUCGCUAUUUUGUGUUCUGACAUAGAUAUUUGGUAGAACUAAAGAUGGAACGGGAAGACUUGUUCUAUACUAAAAAAUUUAUAAUGAAAUGUGUCUACUGUUUAUUUUCUAGCUAUGUUCUAAGUUGUUGUUGAUUUAUUUAUGUAAAUGUGCAUACCAGGUCGAAACGACUAUGAAGUGCUGAGUUUCUCAAACUAAACUCUCCUUACUGGGGAAGGAGCUUUCAGGUCUGCAAGAAAUUAUGUGGGAUAAAGAAAUAAAUCCGAGAACCGACAUUCAUGAGAUCCUUUUGCAAGAGUCGUGACUUUUGUUCUCCAAAAUCCAAAUCAGCGUUCUUGGUGUAGUACUCAAUGUACAACUCUGGUUUUGAUAUGGUGAGACCUGAUGUAAUUUUUUAUGGAGGAUGUUUGUGCUGCAUAUAUUGUUUGAAUUCGAUUAUUUCAUUACUGUACAUUUAGAUGCAUGCAUUAGAUUAUAGAAUGAACACCAUUUUAGAAGUACAUGUAAAUUAUGGAGGCCAACCUUGGAUAAUGUAUAUUUGAAUGUUUUAUCUAAAUGUGUUCUGAAAAAGCCAAUAUCAGGAACUUUGAUCUUGCUAACUUUUGUUGUUCAAUGAUUGUUAUUGCACCAAUAUUUCUUAUGCUAAACUGACAGAAACUAUAUUUCUUAUGCUAACUUACAUGAGGAUAGAUGCACCAAUAUUUGUUUUCCAACAGGAACAGAGGGGAUUCCAGAUUGGUUAAAGCACCAAAUCACGGGACACAAUUUUUUUCUGGUUUCGUAAAUAAAUCCCUUCUAUAACUAGUAUUAUUAUUCCCUUUCUGGAUCCGUCCGAUUCAAAUGAGAAAGUAGUCAAUUUGUCUGUCAAAGGCUAUGAAAAAGUAGUCUGGAUUAAAUGAUGUGAUCUGAAGCUGUCACUAGCAGAGUGCAGUAACAGUAAACUAUGGCCAACACUGCAGAGUGCAGUGUGGCAUGACUAGAAGAGAGAGGAGUCAAGGAAAAGUUAUUUCUGUUAUUCACUCGGAACCAUUAGUACUUUCAAAAUUCUACAGAUCUAAAAUAUAAGCCAGACCAUAUGCAUUAUACAGAAUAGAACUCUCAUUUUAUCGGAUGAAAUUUUUCGGUAUCCACAUAUGAUGCAUGUCCUGAGCAAACCUGCAUUCUUUUUUUUUUUUAAUGCAAAAUAAUCACUAACAUAUCCACUUGUUGAUUUGUUGCAAAUAGCUUAAAGUGGUUCUGUAAUAAAGUGAUUUAUCGUCACAUAAACAAGUGACUUAGAAGUGUUUCCUUUGAAUACUCGUGCUGCUGCAUAAUGAUUCUAAUUUUACCAAGCUUAAGUGUUUUAGACCUGAGUUGCACACACACAACAAGCACAAGCAAGUCACUUUAUUUCUGUGUAACGAGUAACUAAGCAGGUCAUGAAGUUGUUACGAGGAACACAACUUAGAUUUUAGAUCUUGAAUACUUGUAAGAGGCAUGAUUCUAUUUGCUGCACAGUUGCUGAUUGUGUAGUUUUAGAUGUGGAUUUUAUCUUGAAUUUUGGUUUAAAGUGUUUAUAGAAUAUUACAAAUACAAACUUCAUAGCCACUGUAUCAAUAAUUAGUAAUCUUUUUGGUGGGAGUGAUCUGGUAAAUUUUGAUACAACAACUUUGAUAGCCUUUGUAUCAGUAAUUAGUAACGAUGUAACAGAGAAAUUUUUGGCUAUUCUCGAAAUGAGCAGAGACAGCAAUCUAAGGGAAACUUUGACUUUGUGAUCGCUUAAGUGAGUUAUCAUUUUUUUUCUUUGCCACCUGCUAUGUGUUUUUUGAACUUUUGCAUAUUCUUGUCCUUCCUAUGAAUCAACUUUAAUAACCUAAAGUUAUAUGGUGUUUUAGUUAACUAUGAAAAUUGAAUAUUUGCAUUGUAUGUAGUGUUUAUAAUCUAUUCUGGUUUUUAUCUGAGUCAAAUGAAUUGACAAAAGCUUUCCUCAAUUUUUUUCGCUAGAUCAGGCCUGAACUUCAAUAUCCAAUCCAUCUGGAAUUUGGUAGAGUCCUAUGUGGGAAGAAUGGCAUAAUUAUCUUUCAGAAUGUAAGCUGGUACUGAUGCUUGGAUCGAUGUCCCUCUCUACUACUGAACAUAGACCAAGGGCCUUAACUGGCAAUUAGUUACACACAUUCAUGGAAACAAGGGUUGAAGCAUUCGCUCGCAAGCAACUCAGGUAAUAGAAUUUAAUUUUUAAUUAAAUGGGUUUGCCAUGAUCAUUCAUCAAAAUUCAAUUGCAUAAAGAUAUAAGCAAAUAUAUUCAAUUGCAUAAUUCUUUUACACAUUAUAAAAGAAGACAAACUAUGCAGUGGGGUCACUAUCACCGUAGUUUUUGGUUGAAGUCAUAUGUUGUUUACUUGUUGGUUUUUCAAGUUCUGACAUGAUAUUAUUUUUCUUCCCAUUUCCAGCUGAACUACUUUACGUGCUUCAAUUUUUUUCAAUCACUGCUAAAUUUUAGUGGAUAAGAAACAAAUGAAUCUAAAAAAUUUACGAUCAACCAAAUUCUGUUUGGAGGUGAAUGUUUCUUCAUAAUCUAACUUUGUAAAUGAAUUUUAAGUGAUUUGAAAACAUGGAAUAAGGUCUUCAAUAAAUAAAUAUGUAUCAGGUGCUUUUGGUUCAGUUUUAGACUUUUAGAUGGUAGGGAUCGUGCUUUUGGUUUGAUUUACAAUUAUUGUUUCUUGUACUGCUAUUGUGUAGGUCAGUGUUUUGUACUUUUUUUUUUGUUCCUUAUCUAAGUUUCUAUGGUCGGUCUUUUCGACUAUAAUGGAAUAAUACAUGUUAUGCUACUGCAAUGUAGUUAUUGCUUCUAGCAUGGCAUUUACUAGGCUGAUUUGGUCUUUUCGAACUCAUCCAAGGACUGCAGGAUUUGGAGGACUUGAUCGGAAUUAUGACAAAGCUUUUCAAUUUGGAUUUUAUGGAAGUAUAGGUUGGUCAAAUAUCCUUCAUGCAGAAAUUCAGGAUCUCCUUGUUGGUCUCAAGUUGUGGUGGAAAGCCCGGAAGUUUAUAUGCUAUUAUGAUUCUCUUCACGUGGUGCAGUUAGGUUCAAUGAACACUCAUCACUUUCACCAUUAUGCCAAUAUGUUGGAGAUUUAUCAGAGCUUACAUGAAGAAAGAUUGGAAUUUUUCUCUCCAUCAGACUUUUCCCGAGGGCAAUGCUUGAGCAGAUAUUCUAGCGAAAUUGGGAGUUAGUUGUAUAGAUACCUUGGUUACGGUCUACAUGCUGCCGCAGUUCUUCUCCUCGGCUUUGUUAGUUAAAAUUGUUGGAAUGUCCUUUAUUAGGACUUAGUAACCAAAAAGAAAAGGUUGAUGGAAAAACUUAAAUGGAUUUGUUGAAACCACCACAACCCUUUAUGUUGAUACCUUGCAUUCUCAUGUUACUAUGCCUCCAUUCCCCGAGUAAUACAGUGACUUCAAUCAAAUCCCAUAUAUAUAUUUUAAUCUUAUGGUCUCCUUUUUAAUAUGAUUGUCAAAUAAGAGGUUAAUGCAGAAAGUGAAUAUAGUUAGUUUGUGGUUCUAAUUGUGUUUUACCUCUUUAUAUCAAAUUGGUGCAAUUUUUACUUUCUAUGCUUUGGUUAGAUGUUAAUUAAUAUAUUUAUUUUGCCUCUUCAAAACAAACAAAAUCUAGAAAAGAGAAUUGUAAUGAAACAUUUUACCUCUAAGCAUUAUGUCCAAAAAGUGUUACAAACUUGAAUCAAAAAAGAAAAUAUUUUACAAUCAAACUACAAUUCAUUAUGUAUCAAUUUUACAAACCAAGUAAUGAGAUGGAGGGAGAGGAGAGUCCCUGCAACCAUAGGCGACCACAUCAGUGUCAUCAUCCACUACUGUCGGUGCUUGAGUUCCACUGUGUCUCCAUCAUAUUUGUGAGAGUUAACUUAAAAUCAGAAUUCUGGAGAAUCGUGCCACGAUGGAGAAGCUUCGUGCCACGAUUGUUGAAGCAAAAUUCUGGAGCAAUCACUGGAAAAAUCGUGCCACGAUUGAAUCGCAUCGUGGCACGAUGGUGCGAUUGAAGAUAAAAAUAAAACGUAUUUUUAUUGAAGAUUUGUUUCAGUUUUUUAAGGGAUUACUUUCACUAUAAAUAUAGACCUUGUAUCACAGUAUUUCUUGGAGAGAGAUAGAGGGGGCUGAAACAAGGGUUUAGAAUGGCAACAACAAAACUAGAGUUUGUAUAGAGUUUGUCUCUUUGGAAACACUAGGGUUUGAGGGUUGAUUCACCUUGGGAAACACUAUUAGGAUUGAGUCUCUUGGUUACGGGAAGAGGCUGGGACUUUGGGUAGAAUUAGGCGGGAGACUUAUUCUUGUAACCCAUUGACUUCUCUUUGUAACGUUACUCGUUAUAUAGUGGAUCGGAGGGCUGCUCUCUCCCCAGACUAGGUCAAUUUGGACCGAACUGGGUCAACAAAUUAUUUUGUGUUCUCUAUUCUUUUGUUCUUCUUGCUGUUGUUUUCUACUUUUGGCAUGUGAUUAUAACUGUUCCAUACGCUUUGAUUUUGGUUGCUUGACUAUCCCUUGCUCCACACAUCAAGUUGUUAUUGGUGUGAUUUUUCUCAUCGAAUUCACAACAAUAUUGUGUCGUUCAGUCAUCGCCGAUGUAAGAGAAACCAGGUGGUCGUUUUGUCGCCGGUAGUCCGCUGCUGCUAUUUUUCCCUCUCCUGAUUUCUCCCUUCCCCUCUCAUGUCUCACAUAUAAUCUUCCUCCAUCUCUUUUUCUGUCUGAUUGUUCGCAUAACAAUGCAACAAAACAUGAGAGUUGGCAAGAGUAUAAUCCAUGCAGCCAGAAUGAGAACAAUGCUGCUAUAACAUGUUAAAGUUACCAAACAUGUCAUAAGAAUUGGAACCAAUAAAUGUCAUGCUUAAUAUCAUUGAUAGCAGUGUGUUUUACAUCAACAAAAAAAAAAAAAAUGAACUCUCACAUAGAAGGCUGUGUGAUAUUGUGAAGUCCACUUGUAUGUAACUUGUCAUUGCUCAAUGAACAGAGCUUUGAGCGAUAAUUGUGUAGUACACAUUGUCACAAGCAUUACUUGGAACAAUUAGGAUCAUAUAUGUUGGAUCUAUAAUACAGAAAAAAGAAGGCAACUUUCUGAGAGUGUGUGUGCACGUGCGCACUUGUCGUGGAAGAUCAAAUUGAUAAUUAUAAGCGGCAGAAAUAUCUUCAUAAACAUUUAUCAGAUAAGAGAAAAUUGGGAAGGAACAAACACAUCAUAUUCGGUAAUGGCUACUUUUGAGCACUUGUACGAAAUUCAAAAUAACUAUCCGACAUUCAUAAGUGAUGUUACAUUGAACUUAAGCUACUUAUGAAAUGGCAUUCUCAAGACCUAAGGGAUGGCAAUGCAUCUUUGAACUUUUUCAGAAGGAGAAAACAAUUGGAAACAUUUUAAAAUCAAGCAAAACAGAAAACCAACAUUCUGUCACAAUCCUAGACAAUUUUAUCAUAAAAGACAAGUAGUGCUAGUGAUGCAGGCGAUAGUAUUUCAUCCGGUAAUCAUAGGAUAAAUGAGCAUUUCUGUAACACUCAGACGGAACAAAGAAAUCAAGAAGAUGAUGCAGUCGAAGAUCAUACUGAAGAGCACAAAGCAUAUACAACAAAUAGAACAAAAAAACACAGUCAAUAAAGAUUUGGUAUCAGCUGAUUAACUGUAUCGCUAUGAAAAACAAAUUGUAUGAACACUGUAAGGACUUAGUUAAGAAUCCAAAUUCAUUCAAAAGAAAUUGAAGCUUCUAUAGGUUCAUCCUCAACUUUGCCAACUUAAAAUGAAAUUUAUGUGAGAGAUAUAUGAAUACAAAAGAUAUUCGAAGAGAAUGUUCUUAAAUCACCAUAACUUAUAACUUGAUAAAUAAAAAAGAGAGAUGUGACAUAUUGUUAUUUUGUGUUUUGCUAACCAUGUUUGUUUGUGAUUUUAUUUUAGUGUUUUAUUAUGCAGGGUGUCAUGCAGGAAGCGCGGUGGCAUCCAAUUCACAUCUAACUUAGUGCUGAUCAACAACGUUGCAGUGCAGUGGAUAUUGUAAAGACUUAUGUGAAGGGAUCAACAACCGGGUGGAAGCCAAUGAGCAGAAACUGUCUUGGCCGGUGAGUCAAUGUCAGUCUUUCAAAGUUACUAAUAGUGAAUGUCACAAAUCUAUGUUGGUUAAACAACUUCAGAACGAAAAAAUGUUGAGAAUUGUUGCAAUACCAAGAACACUAUCUGGAACACUAAAUCAGACAAAACCAUGUUCAUAAUUUACAGUUUACCCUCUUACAUAAGUUACUAAAACACUAUCUGGUGUUUCUACCAAAACUAAUUUACAGAUUAUAAAGUUUUCCAUAUAUAAAUUAUUUCUACUUAAAGCUAGAGGUCAUUCGGUAAAGGCAAAAGGUCAUUCAUUUUAUUGAUAUAGAAACCAGAUAUGUUUGCGAAUAAAACGAGUAAGAUUCAAACUAAAAAUGCAAAAGCAAGAUCAAGUAGUUUCUUAGUAUACUUGACAAUCAUAUACUUCUUUGUGAAAAGUAAGAAAAAUUUGCCUUACUUCAAUAUUUGUACGGUAGUUUAUUUUAUCUCUUAUCUCAAUAUUUGUGUGUAAGCUGCAUUUUCCAAAGGCUUUCUUAGUUAUGUUAUUUGAUGAAAAAAAUUAUAGGGACUAAAACUUGAAAUUUAAAAUUUUUAUAGGAAUAAAAAAAAUACAUUUAACAUUUUUUUUAAACAUAAGUUCUGGUAAUAUUUGCACAUUGACUACUUGAGUUCUCAAGAUGCCGCUGGUUGAAUAGAAGACUGCAGCUGGUUGCUGCAACUGGGUGUAACACUCCUAUUUCUAUUUAAGCAAUUAAACAUGCGAAUAAUACAUUUAUUUAAGAAAUAGAGAUUACGUCUUAUUCAAAAUUCAAAAACCGAUAGACAUAUAUAUGAACUUCAACAGUCGUAGCGGAAUAUAAAUCAGAGUGAUCAAAUAUAUACAUGCCAUGAGCAAAUAAAUCAUGUUUCAAGGAUAAAUCUCAAAACCCAAACAUACGGUAGUCAUCAACAAAAUCAUAAUCCAACAGAAAAUAUAAACAACCUAAUCUAGACCGACACGACAAGCCUAGAUCAGAGCCGACACGACCCGAUAUCGGAGAAAGCUCCCGAUAUCCCACGCAAAGACUCACCGAGCACUACUCCUGCACAACGUCUACUCACCCAUACAGGCAAGUAGGCUGUUAAAACCACUGAGGGUAAGCAUUACAUUAUCAUAAUCCAGAUAAAUAUCAAUCAAAUAAUAUCAUGUACUUGAAUAAUAUUAGUCAUGCAUAAAUACUUACAUCACAACUCGAUAUCUAAUAUCAACAUACAUCAAUCACAUAAAUAAUUACCCAACCAUAAAUAUUCAUUCACAACACCAAUCAUUAUCAACAUACAUCAAUCACAUGAAUAAUUACCCAACCAUAAAUAUUCAUUCACAACACCAAUCAUUGAACAAUCAUUAUCAACAUUCAUUCAUUUCGUUUCAUCACCAAUCACAUAUUUCACAUAGGACUCAUGUUAUGAUAUGCACUUAUGGACGCAUAAAUGCAUGUGGUACCAAAUCUCAACAAGGUCGUCACCUUUCGAUGCCACUUGCACAUCGAAUGUAAGGGCUCACACCUGCCUUACAAUAAUCUCGAAGUAAAAGAGUCAUCCCUUUUACAGCAACAACGACUAUGAUGCAUGGACAUGUGUAAUGACUCGAUAAUGCAACAACAAUUCUCAAUCUCAACUCAAUAUAUAGGACAACACCCAAUUAUAUUGAUUAUCUCCACAACAUUGCAUUACCAAGAAAGCAUGCCCACACACAAUUAAAUCAUAGUAUUCAUCAUCACACAUCAACAUAUUUAUCAAUAAUCAACAAUGUCAUCCAACAUCAAUUACAUGAUUUUCAAUAAUCAACAAACAUCACUUAUCACGUAUGAUUUUACAAUUCAAGAAUUCUCAUAUUCCAAGUAAGAUAGCAUACACUUCUCAUGAUAAUUAUCAUAUCCAAAAUACAAUCAUUCAUUCAUACAACUUCACUUAGUCAUACAAGAAUGGUCACAACAAUUCAUAAGACAAUACAACUUCAAGAUUCACUAGACCCCCUUUUCACAAGGUUAAUUCUUCCAUAAAAACAGCCCUAGAUGAUUAGGAUAAAGUCCCUAUACAUAGAAAUAAGUUUGGAAACAAUUGGAUCAAAGAAAAUUGCAUUUUUAAAGUUUCUGGUCAGGCAAAAUCGUAGUCCAAUUUUUCUCCAUCGUAGUACGAUUUUUUUCGAACUGAAACACCCAAAAAUCUGGUCAAAAUCGUAGCCCGAUGAAUAAAAUCGUAGUCCGAUUUCUGCCUGACAGACAAUAUCAGAUUUUCCAAUUUUCACGUUUUCGCAUGUAAAAACCAAACUGUUAAUCCGUUUUCGGUGCUGUUUUCCUCUACUUGUUCAUGACACUUAGCCCUAUCUUAAUAUGCAGAAAAUUUCAAGUUUCAACAUUCCCAAAUUCAUUUUCCAAAACCCUACACAACACUCAUUUUCCAAAACGGUUAACAAUUGAAUUUUCACCCGAAACUCCCGUUUUCUUCCAAAACGACUCGACUAUCAUAACUACAACCUAAAAACAGAAAUUCCAUCAAGUUUAACUCAUCCAACCACAUAGACAACUCAGUUAACAACUUUGUAUAUCAAAUUUCACUUUGUUCCUUCACUUGAACAUCUAGCACAACUUCACCAAUACAAACAACUUAUUUCAUAAAAUGGAAUACUCAUGAUAUCAUUCAAUAACAACAACAUAUCUACUUCAACAACACUUCAUUUAGACAUGAAUUCAACCAUAAUUCAACAACACAAUAUCUCAAUCCAACAAUUGAGCAAAACACAUAAGUAUUCAUUUUCACCCAACCAACAACAACAACUUAUUUCACAACAACAAUUAUGAAUCAUGCAUACCCAAACCAUGAAUUAGCAUCCAUAACAUCACUUAACAACAACAACAUCUAUUGAUCAUGAAACUUAUCACAAUUCAUCAACAACCAUGCAUAAUUCACCAAUUGAGCAUAAUUUACAAACUACCCAUUUUCAUACAUUAUGAACUUGCAAUUUCAUCAUCAACAAUUCAUUUAACAUCAAAUUAACAUAUUCAAACAUAUCUCUACAACAUAAGCACGAAUUUCAAAGAUUGGGUUCAUGAUAAUCACUUAUUCUCAUAAUCAAUUAUGCAUAGAAUCAAGAGAAAAAGAAUUAAUCAAAUGAUUAUGAUAAAGACUAACCCCCUUACCUUAGGUAAUGCUCAAUCUAAACUUAGGCUUCACUUUAGCUCCUAACCUCACUCCAAUCUUGAUUCUUCAAGCUCUCCCUCUUCUUCUCUUCUCCCACUUUCUCUCUCUACCUCUCUUUAGGAAAUAUCUUGUGAAAUGAAUGAAAUGAUAUUCUCCUAAGAUAACUCAUUAGGUUUAACUCUUAAUGGGCCUAACCUAGUUUCUAGUGGGCUUAACCCAUUUCUAUUCAAACCAAAAAUAUUUCUACACUUCAAACGAUAUUAACUCAUAACGGUAAAAACUAAUCACUACACUGAUAACUUAGUAAAAUAAGGGUUCUCACUAACUAUUAAAAUAAUUCUCACCAAAUUACCAUGUUACCCUUACCCGCCAAAUGACCAAAAUACCCUUCUAAUACGGUAAUCCAUGUAAUAAUUAAAAUAAAUCUAGCUAAAAAUCGGGCUGUUACAUUGGGGCCAUGGAUGUUCUUAUACCAGACCUUCAUUUGAUAUAUUCAAGGUCACAUUUCUCUUUGCAUCCACACUACCGUUUCUAUUUGAAAACUUGGAUAAUGAUAUAUGUCCCGGAAAAAUUACUCGCGAAAGCAUCACGACUCCCAACAGCUGAAGUUCAUUUGCGAUGGUGUCAGAAAUGUUUGCUUCAUGAUGAAUAGCACUGCCCUUUGAACUUUUAGGCAGCAUCUGACUUUGGUAAUGGUAUUAUUUUUCCAUAAAUCUCAAAGAAGCUAGAAAAGAGGCUUUAAAAUAGUCCCACGUCGACCCAACAAGUAGCAAGCUAUUGUUAAUGAAUGAUAUGGGUGUUAUAAAGAACACCUCAUUGCUCAAGUUAAAUGAUACCAGACAUGGUCUACCAGGGCUAUGAUUUUUACACAACCAAUGAUACACUCCAUCCAUAUAGACAUGGGUGUUACGAAGAAUGCGACAUUAAAUGUUGAAGAUGCAACAUGUGCCGUGCUGUGCUCACGGUGACAUUUGGUCAUACACGCUUUUCAAUUUCUAAAAGUUAUUCAAUGUCAAACAAAUUUACACAUGCAUAUAUAAGCUUAGUUCCUCGUAAACCUCUUCCGUAGAACUUUGAAAGUUAGAUUAAUCUAACAUAUAAGAAGAUCACAUCUUGAUCAUUAGGUCAAUCAAACAGACAAAAUUUGGUAAUACAUUAUUCAAGUAGACCACUGAACAAGUCAUUGAUAAUACAUUCAAACUAAAAACUGCAUAAUUAAGCAUAAUUAAAUUAAGGCCAAGUUUUCUAUUAUCAUGUCUUAUGAACAUGAGUGCUGGAAAAAAUCACAGCUCUAUAAUAAAUACUGCUUAUAAUGCAUGAGAAAUGAUAACAAUUAGCAUGCAAUCGCAGAGAAGAUGCGACGACUUAUUUCAUCAACGGAAAUUUCUUCUGAAGAAUGGCCAUCUGCUACUUGUCCAAUAAGUUUUUAUCUUUUUCAAGUCUUCAUUCUCACUCUUAUAUCAGGUAUCAUUACAGAAUUCCAUUCCAUCUCUCUGUCAUUCUGUUCAUAAAAAUUCAAGCAAACAUAUGAGAGUUAGCAAUAGUACCAUUCAUGCAGUCAGAAUGUGAUCAACAAUACUAGUAUAACAUGUUUAAGCAAGUGCAUUUCCAGAUAGCGCUCGGCCAUAACAAAAAAUAUCAUGAAUUUCAAUCUUCUAAAGUGAGAAAAUCAAGGGUUGUAAUUUUAAUACACCCGUGAUUUGUUAUGAUGUAUCUACAACAGUGGCGGAGCCAUGUGUGUACUGGGUAUGGCCAUGACCUACCCACUUAUUAUUGAAAAUACCAUAAUACCCCUGGUUAAUUUUAAUAUCACUGCCAUAUGCUAACAUCUAGCUAAGAUCCUACUUUGUGAAAUCGCAGGUACUAUUUUUACAAUUCAUAUCUUAACAUAAUUAAGGAAAAUGUCAGUGUCCAGUUAUUUAUUUAUUUUUUGGUUCUGCGUCUGUUGAAUUGGGUUUCACAGAUAACACUACUGCUGCUGUAGCUAGUGCUGCAGUUAGUGUUACUUCUGGUGUUCUGCUAGAUAUGAACAAUUAGUGUAGAGCCCAAUUGAUGUUAUGAGUCAAAGACUAAUGUCAAGGCAGUUGUAAUGGUAGUGGUGGAAAGAGUAUUUUGGAUUUUUGGUUAAUCUUUAUUUUCUGAGAAUUAUAGAAAUGGUUUUGAUGUGUUAUAGAAAAUUCUUUAUGCUUAUGGGCAAGAGAAUUCUCUAUUUCAAUAUUGACUUAUGAAGCAUAUAAUGUUGUUUGUUUGACUUCUUACUCUAUGGUUCAUAGGUUCAUAUGGGGUAGUUUUGGUUCAUGUUUGACUUCUUACAUCAUUUUGAUAAUUUUAUUUCUUUGCAAUAGAAAAAUCAAGAUGGAGAAUAAAAAAUUUCAUUCAUUUUACACGAGGAAGGCCAAUGAUAUUGAAAGAUAAGAAGACCUUAUAAUUUCUUAAUCUCAACCUGAACAAGUUUGUGAGAAUCCAAGAAUUGAAGAAAAUGAGCCUUGUCAGUUUAUAUUGAAAGGGAAAGUUAGUGUAUCUAUUAGUUCCGAGUCAGUUAUUGAUGAUUUCAAGUCACUCGGAAAACGUAAAGUGUCACUUUAAAUAUUUAAUUACUGAUUUUAUGUAUUAUGUAGUUUAAAUUUUGAAUUAUCGAUUUUUGAUUUAUUACAACAUAAAUAUGUUGUAUGUAAAUAUGAUUUAUAUAUUUUAGUUUAUUUUGAUGGUGGCCAUCCCUAAUAUUUUUGUCCGGCUCCGCCAAUGAUCUACAAUGUAUCUCUUUAAUAUGUUAAUUACUGAAAGUAAAUGUACCUUAUAAAAUAGAAGAAUAAAAACCAAUGAGUAAUACAACUACUGCAAUGAAAUGUAUCUCAGAGUAUAUGGUAUGUUAACUCCCUACAUAUCUAAGUAUAUGCAAUGAUACACACAGUAUAUUUCACCACCUAUAGUAUAUUUCGACAUUAAGCAUAGAUAAAAUUUAACAAAAAAAAAAAACAUUAAGUAUAGAUACACUAUAUUCCAGUACCACCCCUUCAAUGUUACACUAUCAUAGAUCCUCUGUUACUCAAUUGUAACUAAUAUACAAUUAAGUUCAAUUAUACAUUUCUUCUGUUACUUAGCAGAAACCCUUGCCUCUCCAUUCACCCCUUUAUUGAGUUUUAAUUCAAGUGAUAGACUUAGGAAUGAUUGGUUAGUUACUAAGUUUAAACAAACUCAGGAAGUUCCAGUGCAAGUAACUACACUAGAGUUAAUUAGUUCAGAAAGCAUAUGGCUUUAUUAUGAACCAAAGACAUCAACACGGACACUUAACAUGACACAGACAUGUUGGCACCACUAGUAUAAAGACAUUCUAGCUUCUAGGUAAACGGGUGACUCUGGAGUUAUGCAACACUUCACACUCGAGCUUGUUCUUAUCAUGUUCAUCAAUGUCAGCUUCCUAAAUACCAUAAAAAGCAAAUCCAUUGUUACCUAUGAACCACAGACAUCAACACAGACACCUACACAAACAUGUUGACACCACUAGGUUAAAGAUAUAGGACACUGACACCACUAGUUUAAAGAUAUAGGAGACUGACACCGCUAUAUGCAUUUAUUUAUUUAUUUAUAAAAUAUCAUAAUUGAGAACUAAAAUAUAUACAACAAGAAAGCUGAAAAUGUUAUAUCAAACUUAAUGUCUUUUCUUGUGUUUUAACUUGAGCUCUGAUUAGAUGAAUUUUGCAUGGCACUUCUGGUAGUUAUUGAACAUGCUGUUCUCUUGUAUGAUAGCGAAACGUAAAGAAUUUUGCUGAUUAAACCUGCUUUUGAGUAAUCCAGUUACUCUGUAUAUUCUUUAGUACAGUGAAUAUUUUUUCAUGGGAUUAUUAUGUUACUUGUAGGCGGGGUAAUACUGAUAGUUAAUACGUAUUUUCAUCAUAAUUAGAUUUAGAUUGCUACUUUCUAGACCAACUAACCUGACAGCGAAACUGUUAACUAGUUAAAUAAAGAAAGCUAAGAUCUCACAUCGUUGAAUUUAACGUGUUACAACUUACAAUAGUUCUUGGAACAGGAAUUUUAGAAUUUUUUAAACUUGGCCAUUCUAAGACGAUGGUGAUGACAAUGAUAAUCACAAACAUGCCUUAUCAGCGAUAUAUAUUUAAAAUCGUGGCCCGGAACUAUCCAUAAUUUGGAGAAUAAUUCUAAGAAAUAAAGACAAAGCUUUGAGUUUCCGGUGUAUUAGCAUAUUUUAGCAUAAAACUACUUAGACGGUGUACACAAUUUUAUUAGCAUAUUUAAAGAUAACCUAAAUAAUUUGGUCCUCUAUCUCUACUUGAAGAAUCAGCAACAAAUUUGUUAACCAAAAAAUAUUAUGCAUUAAUAUAAGCAAUGUUCAGAAUCAAAUCUAAUGUUUCAGCUUAUAUCUAGUAAAUACAGCCUCACCACCAUUUUCUCCACCGAUAUCUUUGUCUACCGCAUGUAGUCAUAUGCAAUAGACAAUCCUUUCCAUUAAUUGGUAACCUUUCCAUUAAUUUGUAAUCGGAUAGUCUGAAUCACACAUUCAAAAAAUCACCUUUAAAUAAUCUCAAAUAUCGAUAAAGAUUUGACUGUCAAUAACAGUUUUACCGUGACACACAAACCUUAUGUUUUAUUAUCAUUAUUAUAUUAUAAAAUAUAAUAGCAAGUGAUGUGAUGUGAUGAUUACACAAGUUUAGCGACUUGGGUUCAUUUAAUUUGGACCAGUUAUACUUUAGGUUGAACUUGGACCACUCAAAUGACCUACAAAUGUAGGUUUGAAACCGGUCAAAAGUUAUGAAGCACACAACAAGUGAAUCGUACCAACCUCGAAGCUAUUAUUAUUGAGAAAUGAUAUUUGUACAACCAUUUUGUGGCAAUUUUUGUACAACUUUAUCUCUCAUACUCACAUUAUAAUUUUAUUCUCUCUCUUCAUUUUUCUCUCUCCUUUAUUUUUGACCAAUAGAAAGAGAGAAAAAUGAAGUUGUCAUGGUAGUUGUCAAAAAUGGUUGUUCAAAUAACACAACUCAUUUUUUUUUUUUUGGUACAUCACUACUCAUUAUUAUUAUUAAAUUUAAAAAUAAAUAGAACGGUCUCAUAACUAUUAAAAUUUAUAAAUCAAAGAGUUAAAAUUAAAAAUUUAAAUCUUUAAAAAAAAAAAAUUAAUAAAGUCUAUGGUACAUCAUCCACAGUAUUGAUCCAGUUUAAACGUUUAGUGUUAAAAAUUUAAAGGAGAUGACCAAUGACCGGGUAUAUAUAAGGGAGUAAUUUACAAAUUUUAAUAACUAUGAGAUUAUUUCAAAACAAAAAUUAAGCAGCAACAAGUAUUUCAAUUCUUCUGAUGUGAAUCAUAUUAUCUCAGUUCUUCUCCUCUUCUCACUGACGACUCACUCGCCUCACCCUAACGUCUGUAUUAUCUCGUCUCUCUCACCUCUUGUUGUUAGAUAAGCUAAGGUAAGCCAAUCGAUUCUCCAAUUUCUCAUUUCUUCUCUAUUUGAAUUGGAUUCAAGUUUUUUGUUUUAAUGUGCUCCAAGUGUUCGACAAAAUGCCUGAAUGAUUAAAUUUCUGUUACUUUAAUGGUGAGAAAAGACUUUGUAUGUACGUUUGUUUGUAUUUAAUUAUUUAUGGUUCUAAGUUUGUUUCAUUUUGGAGCAUAAUUUGAAUGAAAAGAGAUGAUAUGAAUCAUUACCAAUUACUUUGUUUUUAAUUGUAAAUGUUUCUAUUUGUAUAAAUUUUGUGCAUAUCACUUGCUUGAUAAUUUGCAUGAAAAAGGAUGCGAUGAAUCAUUAACAAUUACUUUGGUUUUAACUGUUAAUGGUUCUAUUUCUGAGUUUUGUUUACGUGCUAGGGUUGUAUACGUGUUUGAUGUGAUUUAAUUAGGUAGAAGAUGGAAGUUUUGUAUGGAACUUGAAAUUUUCUUGAGGAAGUUUUAUAUGCAAAUCUUGAUAUUGUAAGUGAUGUGAUGUAAGUUUAUGAUAAGUGAUGAUAAUGUUGUAUUAUCUGACUAGUAGCUGAUAGGAGUCUAGUGAGAGAACUUCUGUUAAUGGGGAUUAAUCCUAGAGCUAAGUAAUUGUAAAUAUAACAUUGAGGAGGUAAAAAUUUCUGCAUGUUUUUGUUGCUAAAAAGAAUGCUACUGUUGUAAAUACCUUAGGCCAAAACUCUGUCUUCCAACUUCGUCUUCUUCUUUCCGCAACGAAACGUUACGAUGAACAUGCUGGAUUGUUCUCGAAUCUAAAAGGUGCGAAAAAAUUAUCCUCCCUAAUCCUCAUGUUAUUUAAAUUAUCCUUACCCAAACAACAAGUUUUGUCUAUAAUGUUAGAAUUAAUUUGAUUUUAAUGAGUUUUAAUGGGUGGAACGGUGGAUUUUGUGUCUAUAUUUUAAAGCUGAAAAAGUUAAUUUAAGCAUAAAGUAAUAGAGAGUAUUGAUUUUUGUAUUUAGUCCUUUACUUGUGUGAUAAUAUGUGCAGGAACCAAGCCAUGGCCUCCAAGCUGCUUUUGCAGAGAAGGCUCUUCAGGUUCUUGCGACAGUCACAACAAUCCUCAUACUCCUUUUCUUCUUCAUCUUCCAUUCAACGAUCCUCGUUCCAUUCUGCGAAACAAACAGAAAUAUCGGGUUUCUCAACUUUCUCUAGAAGCUUCUGCUCUCGAAAGUCCAGUCUUGUUGAUGAAUCUAAUGCCCCCGCACCUAUUGAUUACACGUAUGACACAUCCUUUUGUGUUUUUCGUCCCUUUGUCUCAUUUGAUCCGUGAAAACUCUGUAAAUUUGAUUUUUUAGAUACUUUUUUUUUAAAAGCAAAAAAAUAAAAAAAAAUUGUCCCUCUGAAUUUGAGUUUUUUUUUUUUUUUUUUUUUUUUUGAAUAAGGAAAGUGUUAAAAUAAUAUUAUUGAAAAUCCAAAUGUCAGUGGCAAUUGCUAAUGCCUCGCGGGCCAUUAAUGCGUAGUGUUGAUUGAAAUAGAUGUUGUGUUUUGUUUAUUCCUUUCAAAUGGCUGGUAUGCUUUUGCUAUUUGCUAAUGAUUAAUAUGGAUGCAGUUCUCUACUGCAGGAGGGUGAAUUCCAUAGACUGGCCGAGUCCACAAUACAUAGCCUUCAAGAGAAAUUUGAGGUAUCUAUUCUCUAGCACUCCUGGAAACAGCCUCUUGUGUAAAACAGGGUAAGGCUGCGUACAAUACACCAAAUGAAGGGACCCCUUCCCGGACCCUGCAUAUGCGGGAGCUCUAGUGCACCGGGUUGCCCUUUUUAUUCUCUAGCACUGUUUUGAGUUUUACACGAACUUAAAUUUAUUAUAUGAUACGACAAUCUCGGUAUCCACUUCAAAUUAUGUAUUUGAUCUAACAAUUGCCAACAUUAUUUGAUAAAUAUAGAAUUUUGAUACAAUUAUGCUUAAAUUCAAAUGUGUUUCGAUAAAAUUAGUAUUGGUUGUGAUGGAAACUUGACAGUGACAAUGUUACACUUCAUAUUAUUUAAGAGUUUAAACUACAUUGGUUAUUAUUUUGGUUUAUUGUUACUUGGCAGGACUAUGGAGACUUUAUCGACCUUGAUGGAUUUGACAUAGACUAUGCGGUGAGAAACUUAUUUGGAGAGUAUGUUAUAGUUUUAUAGAAGAUAGGUAGCAAGCAGCUAAAAUUAUUUCUUAUAUAAUAUCCUACAACUUAUGUAUUUUAGAAGACAACACGGAAGCUAUCUUGUUGUAUGUGAUUAUUUCAAAAAUAAUCACAUCGAUAACUUGAUAACCUUUUUUAUCGAUGAAACUCAGUUAAGUAGUUUGAUCUUUUGAAAAUUAAAUGCUUUCUUUUCCCUGUUAAGACUUUAAAUAAUUUAUUCCUAUUAGUUUUAAGAAGCAUCAUCCCUGUGUCUGUGUGGGAGAUAUACUAAUUGUUAACAUGGCUUUCCUUUUCAGAAUGAUGUUUUGACUGUCAAACUUGGGGAGUUGGGCACCUAUGUAUUGAACAAACAAACACCAAACAGACAACUUUGGCUUUCUUCACCAGUGAGGUAUUUUAUUGUAUAUAUGGUUUUUUUUUUUGGUUUUUUUUUUUAAGAUGUAUAUUUUUUAUAUCAGGUUUUACUCUCUACUAGCCAUCAGUAUUCAUGUAGUAAGUAUAUGGCAUGUGAGUACUUCAUAGAAAACUACAAUAUCCAUGCUUACUUAAUAUUUCCUAGGAUAUCAUUACUAAAUAUGAACUGGAGAUAACAAAUCCAAUUAGUAUUGUAAACAAUCUUCUUUAAUCAAACAGGCUAUUUAUAUGUUAAUAGUUGUGUAUUUAUUAAGGCAACCCUAUUGGGAAAAACCCAAGUCCCACAUCGGAUAGAUAAGACUCAUGAUAAUAGUUUAUAAAGAGGAGACACUCCUCACCUUAUGAACCGCUUUUGUAAGGAUGAGUUAGGCCCCAAAUUUCAACAUGGUAUCAGAGCUUGUCGAGUUCAAAGGGCACCUACCUAUCCACGCACCAAGUCUAAAAAGAGUGAUGGGCGUGAGGGGGUGUAUUGGGAAAAACCCAAGUCCCACAUCGUCUUGAUAAGACUCAUGAUAAUAGUUUAUAAAGAGGAGACACUCCUCACCUUAUGAACCGCUUUUGUAAGAAUGAGUUAGGCCCCAAAUUUCAACAUGGUAUCAGAACUUGUCGAAUUCAAAGGGCACCUACCUAUCCACGCACCAAGUCUAAAAAGAGUGAUGGGUGUGAGGGGGUGUAUUGGGAAAAACCCAAGUCCUACAUCGGAUUGAUAAGACUCAUGAUAAUAGUUUAUAAAGAGGAGACACUCCUCACCUUAUGAACCGGUUUUGUAAGAAUGAGUUAGGCCCCAAAUUUCAACAAACCCUGUGUAAUUGAAGUUUUACAUAUGUUGGUGUUUCUUGUCCUUCGCAUGUUGGUCUUUCUUAUCUUAUUGGUGGAGAAGAAAGAAGCAAGGAUUUGAAAACUUGUAGAAACUUUCCCUUUGGUUUAAUUGCUUUAUUUGAAGUGUUAUCUUAUAGUUUCUUUGUGAGGAAAUUGAGGAUAUAUACAAUAUUUUAUCAGGGUUCAUUUUUAAUGUUUUUCUUCAGGAGGAAAGUACUGUUAUGUAAAUUGAAUCUGAGCUCACGGAAGAAAUGAGUAUAGUAGUAAUUUUUAAUAUUUUCAAUUCUAUUAAAAUAUAGGUUUAGUUCUUUGCAUUGAGAGAUGUUACUAUCUUGUUAUGUAGCAAGAGCAUAUGCAGACCUUGUUAUAUAGCAAGAACAUAUGCAGACCGAUCUUGUCUGUUUGUACCAUAAGAAAUGGUAUCUUACUCUUGUUGUAUCUCCGUUCAAUGCUAUUUUGAUUAUCAAUAAAGAAGUAGGACGCAUUCAGCCUUAACUCUUUAAGUGACAUUAAUUAUGAUCGAUUGUAGCCACCGGAAUUUUCUUAUCAUUUUGGAGGAUUCUAAGACUCUCAUGUCGGAGAGUCUCACCUAAUAAGUGAAACUUAUAAGGAGUUUUCCCAUCUAAUAGUCUAGUCUUUUAGAUGAGCUCUCCCUUUGCGAAAACUUGAACUCGAUAUGAGCAAUGUGUUUUUGUGAUCCUUCUGUGGGGGUCAAGUUUUAAAACCCAUAUUAGAAAAAGCACACAGAUUGUGCAAAAACUAAACCUUGUCACUUAAGUUUGUCCCUGUAAUCCUAACUCCUAAGCCUCUUGCAACUGCUGUUCAACAGCCCUAAUUUUUGUUUGUGGGUUCUUUAUUUGAUAUGAUCCCUCCGUUUUCCGUUAUCCAUAUGCAAGGGCUUCCUUUCCAGUUCUACAGAGAGGUUGCUACGUGUUCUUCUCCCCUGCUAUACAGCCACUCAUCUUCCUUUUUCCAUGCGCUGCUGCGACUGCUCUUCAUUUCUGACACGGUCCAUUUUUCCUCUGUUUGUGUUGUGUGUUUGUGCUUUGUUCUGUUUCUUCCGUGUUCGGUGUUUUUGUAUUUGCUAUCUGGAGCUAUUACUUGUAUAUGCAUGAGUUUGUGAAAUUUGUGGGAUAAUACAGGAUCUUAAGUUUGUCUACCUUAUUCCUACUAAUGGGUUAGCCUGUUGUGGUGGCUCUCCUUUUGACCUUAUUCACAUAAUAAAGGCCUUUGUAUGGUUUUGAGGCUUUAAGUGCAGUUCGAUUUAUUUUAAGUAGAAUACAGUUUGAUCCUCUUGACGUGCAUUUUUUUUAGGAAAAUAGUUUUCUAUUUUAUCAUGCUUGUCUUUUUAAUCUGCUUUGCCUAAACUAGACGGCCAUUGACAUAAAACAUAGGACAGAAUAGGUAUAAUAAUAAAAAUGAGACUUGCAUAUUGACAGUAUCUAUUUCUCUACGAGUUCUACAUUCUCUUCCACCUGUCUAAAAGUCUCCCAUUUCUAUUGCAGUGGUCCGUCUAGGUUUGAUUGGGAUCAGGUUACUAAAGCUUGGAUAUAUAGGCGGAACAAAGCAAAUUUAUACAAAAUCUUAGAAGAUGAGUUGGAGCAGUUGUGUGGCAAACCUAUUGUUCUUUCCUAAGCUGUUGAGAAUGUGGUACUUAAUCUUGAUUUAAAAUUUAAAAAUGGGAAAUCAUUGGACAUUGUUGAUGAUCCUUUGGCAUUCAGGUGUACUCAGUAAGCAGAUUUUGUUCCUUUGCCACCUUUUACUCUGUAAACUAUACCAGUUCUUUCACAAUCAUGACGUGAUUGUAUCUUCUGAAUAAUCAGCUCUAUAUAGAACUCAUGUGGUUGACAUUAGUUUACUCUUCUGAAGAAUUACAAUUGUAAUGGGCAUUAUUGUUGGUUACUACUGGUGAGCUAGAGCAACUCAAAUGGUGAUCUUUAUCAAAGGUUGUUUUGCGGGUCCUCUAACCACAUCAUCUUGAAGCAACUAUUUUUUUUCAUUUGUUCCAAUGAUAAAACACUAAAGAACUGAUAUUAGAACAACAACUUUAUCACCCAAUCUUGUUUUAUUCAUAUGUAACAUUAUUUUAUAUUGAACCCUGUUUUUAUUGCAACAAACCGAAAGAAAAUAAUUUUAUUUUAGUCCCUUUUGUUUCAAAGUUUUGUUGCGUCAAUAAGCAACGGUGAUGACAGGACAGCUGUCCAAUUUUCUUUUAACUCUAAAAUGGUGAAAGGGUGCAACACAUUGGCAGACUCACCCAUUGGUAGAGAAAUUAAAUUUGAACAACGAACAAUUUUUUGAAUUGACUUCUUUUUCUAUAGCAAAAAAUAAUAAAUAGAAAAAGAGAGUAAGAAUACAAUGAAAACAUGAAAGUUGUUUAAAAAAUUGCUGGGACGAUUUAACUAUUUUAGAAUACGAAUAACACAUGAAUUCACAAGGAUGGUUUAACUAACGAGCAAUGAUAUUUGAACAACUAUUUGGUACCACCUUUAUGACAAAUUUUUUUCUCUCUUCUUAUUGGUCAAAAAUAAUGAAGAGGGAAAAGGGAAGAGAGAGAAUAAGAAGAUAAUGUGAGUAUGAGAGAUAAAGUUGUAUAAAAAUGAUUGUACGAAUAUCAUUUCUCUUAACUAUAUAAACCUAUUAUUAAACACUCUUAAAUUGUAAGUUUCAACUACUCAAAAUAAGUUUUAGAUAUAGAUAAAAUAAUUGUUUUUACACAUUCAAGGAUAAAAUUACUUUAUAGAAAAAUACCUAGUUAAAAUUAGUAUUAAAUUAAGGGUUAAUGGUGCUUUACCCCCUGUAAUAUAGGUCAUUUUUUAUUUUCCCCCUGUCAAAUAUUUUUUUUGAUUUACCCUCUUGUAAAAUAUAUUUUUUUUGGAAUACCCCCUAAUAUUUUUUUUUUUGAAUACCCCUAAUAAGUCAUUAAAAAUAUUAAUACCAAUAGUUUCCAAAACCGAAAAUUCAAUAACAAAAACAUAUUGAUGUAAAUCAUAUAUUAUUUAUAUUCUUUAGAAUAGUCUAGAUACAUUAUAAUCAAACUGAUAUUUUUUUGUUUUUGUUUUUACACAUGAGUCGAAUCUGAUAGAUAUUUGUGGAACUAAUCUAGGUUUAAGUCAAUAGGGUUGUCCUCGACAGUCUUUGUUGGGACACAAAGGACAUAGCGUCACGCAAGGGUACUUUCGUCCAUCCAAUUCAAAGAGAGUGGUUUUUUGUUGGGAGAAGAGCAAUUUUCAACAAAUAAACCUAAAGUAAUCAUCUUCUUCAUCGCAACACAAGAAGCAUGUCAAUCCUUAGUCGAUUGAAACUCGCAGGUACUCGUUGUUUCUUCUACUCUCUCUCUCUCUCUCAUUAAAUUUCUUGAAUUUGUUAUUGCUUUGUUACAAUUCUGUUCUAAGAAAAUUCUAUUGCGCUUCUUAAUUUAGCCUCACACAGAAAUAAUAUAUAUGUUUAGUCUUGGCAAGGGACCAAAUACUAACGUAUAGUUAUCAUAUAUAUUGCGUGCUUGCAGCAACAAUGAAGAGCUGUGAAAAGCUUGAGAAUGAGUUGUCUGAUCAUAUUAUAUCUUAUAUCUUUUCCAAGUUAGCUUUGAAAGAUUUGGUGAAAACCAGUGCAUUGUCCAAACAAUGGAUUCACGAAUGGGGAUUAAGGAUGGACCUUAACUUCGAUCUCUAUACCAUGUCCGACUAUAACACAGAUCAAGACUUGUCACAAAUCCUUCCUCUCUCUCUCAAAGGUUUCACUUUCAAUCUGAAUUUUCCACAAGAUUGGAUCAAUUUAUGCUGCAUUAUAAAGGUGCCAUCAUCCGUUCCAUUCGAGUAAAAUUUCCAUUAUGUAAUCAACAUAGGGAUGUCAUUCAUAGAUUGAUCUCCAAAGGAAUUGCUAAGGGUGCCAAACAUAUUGAACUUCUCUUCUCUUCUGAAACAACUGAUACUACUAUUUCUAUUAUGCCAUACAGAUUUUCCCUUAUUCUCUUACUUGAGAAUGAUUCUGUGACCUAUUUGCACCUACAAAACUGCCUCAUAGACAAACCCAGAUACUUCUCUGGAUUAAAAAAUUUGAGAACUCUUGUGUUGCAACAAGUUUUUGUGAAGAAGACACUCCUUAAGACUUUGUGUUCAAAUUGCAACCACCUUGUUGACCUCACCCUUGAUGGUUGUAAAAUCACUUCCAAGUUGGUAAUAAACAGCCCAUCAUUGCUUCGUUUGAACAUUGCUAAUGUUGGGUUUUACCCUCGAAAUCUUAUUACUAUCAUUGCCUCAAGUCUCUCAUCCUUUGAGUAUUCUUGUCUUAAAGAACAUGUAGUACACCAAAUGAACAUUCAAGCUCCUAUGUUAUCCAAGUUUAGCUUUAGAGGUGCUUUGUUUUCAAAGCGUAUACGGUUAUCUGGAUUGACGAACGUAACAAUAAUUAAGUUUGAUGCAUUACUAAUUGAUCUAUCCACAAACAUCUUGCCUCAUUUGUUUUCUAAAUGUCCUCAACUUGAAGCUGUCACUCUUAAGAACUGCUUGUUCACAAGUUCAACACAAAUUACCAGUUCGAAGUUACGUCAUUUGAUCAUACUUGAUAGUGUUUGGGUGGAUGACUCUCCUUCUGAUAUAUCUAUUGAUGCAUUAAAUCUUUCAUCCUUUGAAUAUACUGGGUACACCACAAGGAUAAUUUCUUUUACGGCUCCAAGGUUAUCGAAGGUUUUCUGGGAUACAUCAGAGAGAGAGAAUAGACCACACCUUUUUGAUCCAAUUGCAAGUUUACCACAUAUUGAGAAUUUAGCUAUGAUCAUCGGCACUUUACAAGUGAGUCGCUCAAUGAUAUUCCAACACUAUAGUACAUUCCAACAGUGUCUAGGUUUCUUUCCAUUACGUUUUUCACUAGCUGCUUUUAAUUCACUUAAGUAUCAUUGUUGUAAACAGGUAAAGGAAUUAGCGAAAGUCUUGGUUCGGUUUCAAAAUCUUUGACAAUUGGACUUACAUAUUGAUGGAGCAUGUGAUCCUAUUAUGGACUACUUUUGGCUUUUGGAUAUUGCAACGGCUUCUAGGCAUCUCCAAAAACUUACACUGAGUGUAAGUUAUUCAAACUUUUUUUUUUUUUCUUUUGUCUUGAAUGGAACUAGAAGUUUAUUUUAAAACUUAGCUGCAGUACGAUAGGUAUUGUUUUUGCUAUUUCCCAAUUGAAACUAGACACAUGUAAGAGUAGAUAAAUAAAGAUGAAUAAUUUUUGUUUUUCUUUUUAAAUAUUAACACUAACUUAAAACUCAUAUACUUUAAAAUAAACAAAUUUCUCCGAAUGUUUUUUCAUAAUAGUAAAUUAGAUUUAUUUAACCAAAAAUCCCAAAUCAAUUAUCAAACCUUUAAUUGAUAUUGAAAAUGGGUGAGAGACCGAAACUCAUACAAUUGAAUUUGAGAGACCAAAAAGUUGGAUUUUAAAAUAGGGGACCAAAACUUCAUUUUUCCUAAAACAAGUCAAUCAAAAGUGCAUUUAAGUCAAAAACCACUAUCAAACAACUCUAUUUUAGUCUUGUGUGUUUGUAUGAAAGUUAUACUCUAUCGGUUUAUAAAUACACGUCGUAGUCAAUCACUUCACAUAUGCUAAUACACAACUUUGAUAAUCAAUAUCUUUAGUUAUCUAUGAUAAAAAAAAAUUAUAACAGUUAGAUAUGUUAUAAAUAUUCAUUGAGACAAGUUGAACAAAAUCUUAUAUACUAACAUUAGUGUUUAUAUAUUAGGUAAAAAUAUAUUACACAUUAUGAAUGUGAAUAAUACAUAUUACCAACGUCAAAAAAGAAAGAAAGAAUAGUACACAUUAUCAAAUUGUUACAUGUAUCUUAUAAGCUAAUAGUUUGACCUUGUCAAACAUAAUAAACAACAUCGUAUUUCAAUUAAAAUAAUGAAUAAGUUGUGGAUUAGUUUUAUAUGCUAAUGGAAUUUUAAAAUUCUCAUAAAUGUAUCGUUAUUUUCAAUUUUCAGAUUAAAAAUCUUCAUCCGGAACAUUCACAUAUGGUUGGAUUUAAAAGGCAGAAAAGCGAAUAUGAGGGGUUUUCUCAUAAUGUUUUGAAAUAUGUGGAGUUUCUCGGCUGUGUUUGCUCCAUAAAUGUUUUUGAGUUAGCUACUCACCUAUUGAAGAGUGCAAAUUCGCUUAAGAAAAUGACUUUCCAUUCUAGUGACAGAGUCUAUCUUGGAGGUGGUAGAUGGACAACUUAUUUUAAUGCAUGUGGUGGUGAUUGUUGGUUAGGAAAGAAUGUUAUUCACGAGAUGUUUAAGGAUUGUUAUCAUGGUUUUUGGGUGCCAAGCCAUUAAUUAGACUUGUACCUUUCGACCGUUGAUAUCUCUAUUUUUUCUUGGGAAGGGCAAAAUUGAGAAAAAACCCUUAGAUUCUAAGUUCGGGGGCCGGUUUUACUACGGGAAGGUGUUAGGCACCCGGAGUAACUAUAGUCCUCUAUAGGAGCCGUUUUCCUAAGUCUAUAUUCACGCUUAUUUUUACUUACUUUUGAAAAUGGGAGGUUUAUUUAGUUAAGAAUGGGGGGGAGAGAUUGUAAGACUUUGAUUUUAUUUCGGCUUGGAUGAGUUUUGACUCAUUGCCUACGUACCGUUUUACAGGAUCAAAACCGGCGUAGUUCUUGCUAAAAAGACUUGUUUUUCUUUUGUUUUAAUUGUUUGAUUUUAAGUUUUGAAAAAAAGGUUUUGAAGAAGGAGAUUGGGAGGCUUCAUGAGCAUUAGAUUUUAGCAAAAGGUGAAGUUUGAUUAGUGAUUAGAAAAAAAGUCUAAAUGAUUAAGAUGAAUUGAAUUUUCCUUUAGAGAAAAAAAAAAAGAAAGGAAAAAAAAAAAUGAAGUGUUGACUUCAUACUUAUUAUGAAAAUUUUUGAAGUGAAGUUCAAUUGUUUUUUUUGGAAAAAAGAUGGAUUUUCUCUAAGUGUUUAAAACCUAAACGCUUAUUUAACCAUACAAUCCUAUGCAUACAUCUAAGGUGAGUGUGUGCGUGUCGGUGCAUCAUAGUGUCCAUAGUCCAUAUUACAAAAAUUGCCUAAAUACAUUCUAUGGCCCCUUUGCCAAGCUACAAACCAAUGAUAACAAAUUACAUUACCAAAUGAAUUAAAACUUGCAAAAGAUAAAGGCUAGGCUAAAGAAAGUGGAGGGAAUGCUAAAUGGGAUGCAUGAAACAUGGAAAUAAACUUGUUAGUGAAAAGAAAAAACAUAACAAGUACUAAGAAAUAAAAGCAUGCAAGAUGGCACAAAAAGUUAACAAAAUGACAUUAAACCCUAAAAACUUAGGUAUGAAACCUAAAGCAUUCUUGGCCUCUAAUUCUCAUGCUUUAACAAAUUUUGAAAGAGUUUUCUUUAUCUCAAGUUAUAGCAUAGAAUUAUUGGAAACAUGCAAACAUGGUUUCAUGCCACAUUUUCUAGAAUAAACUUGGCAUUUUAUAUCUUUCAAAAUAUGCAUAUAUUGUUCAUAAAAUCAAGCACUCAUGAACCAAAUCAAAACAGCAAAUCAACAUGAAAUUAUUGGCACAAAUCUCUCAUAUUAACACGUCAAGUAGCUUUUAUUUCAUAUUCUCACAUCAAGGACAAAUGUGUGAAGAAGAAUCCAUAACAAAUAAUUCAAAGAGAAUUAAAAUGCUAUGAAUUAAUUAUACAAAAAUUUCAUAGAUCCUUAAUGUUCAAAAAUGUCAUAAAAACACUAAGAAAAUAUCAAGAAACAUGUGAUAAUUUUUUGGAGGUUUUUUGGAGAAAAUUUUAAGCAUGCAGGGGUUCAAACAGCAAAGAAAUAUGGUGCAAAUAGCAGGAAAACAAACAAAAACGUAAAAGAACAAAGCCCAAACCAAAGGCCCAAUACACUAGAAGAUCCGGUUGCACAGGAACCAUACGAUUGAUCCAGGAUUCUGAAACCCUAGAUCAGACGGCCAGGAAUCAAAGGGGGAAUGGACCGGACUGGACCGGUCCGGUUCGCUGGCUUAUAAAAAGGAAGGAGCUCCGGUUUAUUUCAUUUUGCUGCUCUCAUUCUCUCUCUAACUCUUCUCUCUUCUCUCAUCUCUCAUCUCUCACUAACUUCGCCGCCGGCGAGGAUGAAGCUACGGCGGAGACCUUGAAGGUCCGCCGGAAACUUCAUCUUCUCCGGCGAGUUCAUGCAGUUUCCGGUGACCUAAAUUUCCAGAUUUCAAAGAUUCUUACUCCAUUUGAUUCGUCCUUUAACCCUAAACACGAAUCCAGCAGUUGUUUUUUCAAAUUCAAGUCGAAACGAUGUAGAUCUGGAAAUUUGCCGUACGGCUUUGAAUUUGAUUUUGAUUUUUUGAAAGAUAACGUUUAGAUCCUUGAAGAUCUACAUCAUUUCGUUGUUUAACACCUCUUUGAUGUUUGUUCUUGCUUUCAAAACUUAGAUCCUUAUGGAUCUAGGUUUUGUGUUUACGGUUACGGUUUUGGCUUUGAAUUCUGGAAAUUUGGAUCUGUUUUGCUUGCGUGAUUUUUAGGUUUAACAGUGAUAUUGCUUUUGAAAAAGAUUAUGAGUUUUACCUAAGGUUUUGGUUGAAACCUUUAAUGGAGAAAUUCUUUGGAAAACUUCAAUCUCUGAUGCUACGUGAUUUGGCUUUGAAUCCGGAAAUAAACCGGUGUUCCUGCUGGUUUCUUGCUUUAUCGUCUUCUUCGCCGGUUUAAACCUUCAUUAUCUUUCUUUCUUCUUCGUCUUCCUCACUGUAUCUUCGUGAUCGGUGCUGGAGUUUGCCUUUGGCGAAUUCGCACCUUGAAUUGCGAAGAUACUGAUUCAAUGAUGAUGAUUCUUCAAAGAAUCACUGAGAAUCCAUGAAAAAUAGCUUGAAUUUGUGUAGUUUCUGUUUCUGGAAAAGGUUAGGUUUACGCCAUUGAUGAAUGUUGAAGCUUUUUCUGUUUUGAUUUGUAACUGACAAGAGAGAGUGUGACUCUGUGUUUAUGAGUUGGCACCUGAUGAAUGGCUUUGAGUGGCACUGUGCACCUUUUAUAGCAUGACAUGUGUGCCUCUGAACAAAUGAGAAAGUGACACCUGGACCUGGAAAAAAAAAUGACACGGCCUUGGACAAAAAAUCAAAUUUGGACCUUCUUGCAAAAAACAAAACUUAAGGACUAAACUGCAAUUGACCAAAAAAGGACUAAAAUGAAAAUUGGAAGAGAAACUGGACUGAAAUGUAAUUUUGGGACCUCAAUUGAGGGACCAAAAUGUAAUAAAAAAUAAAAUUGAAUAAAACGUAAUUUGACCAAACGUAAAGCGAAACAAAAAUAAAAUUGACAAAACGGACUAAAACGAACCAAUGGCCUAAAUGAGGUACUUCAAAGUAACCUCCCCAUGCCAAAAUUUUAUGCGAAAUGACCAAAAUGCCCCUAGGGCUAAAAAUGACCUAAACAGAGCCAAAAUGACUCGACACUGACUCAGAUGCAAGUUUGAAAUGAAAUUAGCAAGGUUUACUGAUGGAAAGUUAAAAAUGAAUUUGAAAAGACCCAGAGACAGUCACAAGGAUGAAAAUGGGUCCCACUGCAGGAAAUGACCAAAAUACCCUUCUGUAUGACUUUUUUUGCAAAUUUUGAAAUAAACUGUAGAAAAAGCAAUGUAAUGAUUCAGAGACACUUUUGAAUGACUUACAAGACAAGUAAAGACAUUUCGAAAGGUUUUAUGCAAGAAAAACAUAGGUAAAAUUGUGAUUGAAAAUACUGCGAGGCAGAGACAAUUUGAACUGUGCAGUUGAAAUUUGAUAAUUGACAAAGUUUGAAAAUGAAAUUGGGCCCAGUAUUUUUAGGUCCAAAAACAGGGUAUAACAGCUGCCCCUAUUUAAGUUUCUUUGUCUGGAGAGUCAAGAGACGGAGUCUUUGGCUUGACAGGACGAAGACACUUAAAUAUUAGCAUUUGCACUGUGUUUGGACGUAAAAAUACGCCUACCCAUUUUCAAAUAAUAUGCAUGCCAUGCAUCAUUUGGAUUAUGAAUGCAAGACCUCAUGGGGAUUGGAAUUAACAAAAUAUGUCGUAUCCAUUGCGGGAUUGGUAGACAUUGACAAAGAUAGUGAAUAGCAGAGUAACGGGAAACUAGAAACAAGUUGGACAGGUACAAGCUGUUCUUGGAUUCAAACUAGCCACUUGACCGGGGAUGAAACAAACAGACAACUGCGAGUUGUUCUUAUGGAUUCGAACUGGUCACUUCACAGGGGAUGGAGGUUACUGGACAAACAUGAGUUGUUCUUAUGGAUUCGAACUGAUAACUCACUUGGGGAUAUUGGAAAGUGCGAGUUGUUCUUAUGGAUUCGAACUGGUGACCCGACUGGGAAAAAGAGAAAAUUGGCAAGUACGAGUUGUUCUUAUGGAUUCGAACUGGUUACUCGACUGAAAGCAUGGCAAAUAGACAGGUGCGAGCUUGUUCUUGGAUGCGAACUGGUUACUCCACCGGACAGAAACAGAUAGACAGGUACAAGCUGCUCUUGGAUUGAGCUAGCCACUUGACCAAACGGAAACAUAUUGACAGGUACAAGCUGCUCUUGGACUGAGCUGGGCACUCGACCGAUAACAUAAGCAAAUUGAUAGGUACAAGCUGUUCUUGGACUUGAACUAGCCACUUGACCAAACAGAAACAUAUUCACUGGGGAUUGGUUUUGUUCUGACAAAAUAUAGAUUGAGAUUGACUUGACGUCGAUUUGAUUUGAAAGGUAGAAAUUGACCGAUAUUAUUGGCUCACAAGGUUUUGACAGAGAACCUGACAUGAGUUUUGAAUUGAGACUGAUGUUGACAUUGAAAAUGCAAUAUGCACGGAUGAUAUAACGAUUUCAUUAAAUGCAUGAGCACGUAAUAUGCAUGAUUAUGCAUGUAUGAAUGCUUGUAAUGCAUGACUGUUGGCAUUUUGUAGGCACGACUUCACGGGGAAGACGAGACAUCAGAGUAUUGGGCACGUAGUGGCUCGUGCUAUGUUACACCUUCUUGGAAAUCCUCUUUGGAGAUGACGUCGUUUGGGAGACGUAUCGGAACCAUGGCUGAGGGCAGGUAGCUAUGCAACUUGCUGGGGAUAGAAUCUCGAGAGACUUUACUGGGGAUAAUGCCGUUGUGAUAGGCAUGUUGUGGACAUCGCAUCUGUGGUCAAUGCUUUUUGCAUGUUAUAUUCUCAAUUCUCAUUCAUCAUUUUUUGCAUCCCAUUUUUGCCUGGAUCGCCCUUUCGGGUUUUCGAUCCACCGGGGAAAUAAAUUCUUUUCAAUGCCCCAUUUUUGCCUGAACUGCCCUUUCGGGUUGUCAAUCCAGCGGGGUGCUCAUUUUUGCCUAAGCCGCCCUUCCGGGUUUUCAACUUAGCGAGCCUUUUCAUUUUCAUGCAUUUGCAUUCUGUUUUUUUUCAUUUUUGCCAUUGACCACAGAUUAUCUUGGAGGAGAACCUGCUUGUAACAUAUAUGGAAAUAGACAUUAACAUACUCUCGCUCAUGCAUGUUUCAUUUGAAUGUACCCUGUUGCUCAGGUUUGCUUUUCAAAACAGACAAAAAGUUUUCAAUUUUCAAAAUGUUUGUUUCAAGCAUUGUCAUUAUCAAAAUAGAAAGAAAAUGUUUUGUAUAUAGCUUUGAAAGUAAAAAGAAAGCAGAGUUUCAAACAAAAGCACAAGCUCAAAUUGAUGUAUAAGAGUGGUGGUCAGCCGAAGGCGUGACUCCACGGAUUCACAAAGCUUGGAAAAUGGUAAUUUUAUUGGUUGGUGGUACAUUGAACACAGUAAUCACUACAUUUCUUAGAAACUUUGAAUCCACAAGUGCAGAAGCUUUUGAUGAAGACGGUCAUUAACAGCUGCAGAUGUCCCAAGGGGGACGGUGGUUGGCCAGAUAUAGUUACUUGCCUUUUGUUUCAAUCUCAUUUUUGCAUGAACCGCCCUUCCGGGUUUUCGGCUCAUCGAGACACUCAUUCUUGCCUGAGUUGUGUACAAUCUCAGCGAGCUUUUCAUAUUUGUUUUUUUUGUCCCUUAUUUUUGCCUGGACCGCCCUUUCGGGUUCUCGAUCCACCGGGAAGCGCAUUUUUGCCUAGGCCGCCCUUUCGGGUUUUCGACCUACCACGCUGUUCUUUUCAUAUUUCUAGGCAAAGUAUUUCUUGACUAUAUCGGCAUUCACUGGAUUUGGAAGCUCUACACCAUCCAUGUGUGUAAGGAUUAAAGCACCACCGGAGAAGGCCUUCUUGACAACAUAAGGACCUUCAUAGUUAGGCGUCCACUUGCCCCUUGGGUCGGGUUGCUGGCUUAUCCUCCCUUUCAAUACAAGUUCCCCUACCUUGAAUUCUCGCGGAUGGACUUUCUUGUCAAAGGCAGUCUUCAUUCUUGCUUGAUAUGACUGUCCACGAGCCAUGGCAUCCAUACGUUUUUCCUCAAUCAAAUUUAACUGAUCAUACCGGUUUUGGCACCAUUCAGCCUCAGAUAACUUUGCUUCCAUAAUCACACGGAGAGAUGGGAUCUCCACUUCCAAAGGAAGAACUGCUUCCAUACCAUAUACAAGAGAGAAAGGGGUUGCCCCGGUUGAACUGCGCACAGUAGUACGGUAGCCAUGCAGAGCAUAGGGUAACAUCUCAUGCCAGUCCUUGUAAGUGGUUACCAUCUUCUGGAUGAUUCUCUUGAUAUUCUUAUUGGCGGCCUCAACUGCACCAUUCAUCUGAGGUCUAUAAGGAGAAGAGUUAUGAUGCUCAAUUUUGAAUUCUUCACAAAGAGCUUGCACCACAUUGUUGUUCAGGUUGGUACCAUUGUCGGUAAUAAUCUUGCUGGGAACACCAUAUCGACAGAUGAUGUUGUUCUUGAUGAACUUAGCUACCACUUGCUUGGUCACAUUAGUAUAAGAUGCUGCUUCAACCCACUUGGUGAAGUAGUCAAUUGCCACUAAGAUGAAACGAUGACCAUUUGAAGCCUUCGGUUCAAUCCUUCCAAUCAUAUCGAUGCCCCACAUUGAGAACGGCCACGGGGAUGACAUAACAUUGAGAGCGUGCGGAGGCACAUGAAUCUUAUUAGCAUAGAUUUGACAUUUGUGACAUUUUCUGGCGUAUUGGUAGCAAUCAUGCUCCAUGGCCAUCCAGUAGUAACCUGCCCGUAGCAACUUUCUUGACAUAGUAUGCCCUGUAGCAUGGGUCCCGAAGGUACCGUCAUGUACAUCAUGCAUUAACUGCUCCGCCUCAUGUUCAUCAACACAUCUUAACAAUACCAUGUCAUAGUUCCUCUUGUACAAAAUAUCUCCAUCUAACAGGAAUCUACCGGCCAAUCUUCUCAAGGUCUUCUUGUCUUGUUUGGAAGCACUCGGCGGAUACUCACGGCUCAGCAAGAACUGUUUGAUGUCGUAGUACCAAGGUCUAUAGUCAACCACAUUUUCACCAGCUUGAUCGAUCACAUCCCCAAUAGCAAACACAUGUGAAGGUCUUUCAAGGCGUUGCACUUUGAUUAAUGGCACAUCAUUCCAAUGGUUUACUCGGAACAUGGAAGAUAGAGUAGCAAGAGCAUCAGCCAUUUGGUUCUCAUCACGAGGAAUAUGAUGCAGCUCAACCUUUGUAAAAUAUGUCAGAAGACGUCUCGCAUAAUCACGAUAAGGAAUCAACUUAGCAUGGUGGGUCUCCCAUUCACCCUUUAUCUGAUUGAUGACGAGCGCAGAAUCUCCAUAGAUGUCGAGGUGUUUGAUUCUCAUGUCAAUUGCUUCCUCGAUCCCGAAGAUACAUGCUUCAUACUCAGCCAUAUUGUUUGUACAUUCGAACAGAAUACGGGCGGUAAAAGGAAUAUGAUGCCCUUGCGGGGAUACAAUGACUGCCCCAAUUCCUUUGCCAUAAGCAUUGACAGCACCAUCAAAGACUAAACCCCACUUGCUAUUGGGAUCUGGACCUUCAUUAAUCAACGGUUCGUCGCAGUCUUUGGAUUUCAAAUACAUGAUCUCUUCAUCAGGGAAAUCGAAUUCAAUUGGUUGGUAAUCAUCAAGAGGUUGAUAAGCAAGGUGAUCGGCAAGAAUGCUGCCUUUGAUUGCCUUUUGAGUUUUGAACACAAUAUCAUAUUCAGACAAAAGCAUCUGCCAGCGUGCGAUCUUCCCAGUAACGGCCGCUUUCUCAAAGAUAUACUUUAUCGGAUCCAUUCUGGAUAUCAACCAAGUUGUAUGAUUCACCAAAUAAUGGCGCAGGCGUUUGGCAGCCCAAGCUAGAGCACAACAAGUCUUUUCAAGCAUUGUAUAUCGAGUUUCACAAUCGGUGAACUUCUUGCUUAGAUAGUAGAUAGCAUGCUCUUUCUUUCCGGUUUCAUCUUGUUGACCAAGUACACAUCCCAUGGAUUCAUCAAAUACUGCCAAAUACAUAAUCAAAGGCCUUCCUUCCACGGGUGGGACAAGGAUAGGUGGUUCCAGCAGGUAAUUCUUGAUGCUAUCAAAAGCUUCUUGGCAUUCAUCAUUCCAUACAACAGGCUGGUUCUUUCUAAGUAGCUUGAAGAUCGGCCCGCAGGUUGCAGUCAUGUGAGAUAUGAAUCGGGAGAUGUAAUUCAAACGUCCCAAGAAACCUCUGACUUGCUUCUCUGUCUGUGGAGCUGGCAUUUCUCGGAUGGCCCGGACUUUAUCAGGAUCGACUUCAAUGCCCUUUUGGCUGACAAUGAAGCCUAAUAACUUUCCGGACCUGACACCGAAUGUACAUUUGUUGGGAUUCAAUCGCAGCUUGUAUUUUCUCAACCUUUCAAACAUCUUUGUUAGAUAUUCAACAUGCUGCUCCUCAUCUGCUGACUUCACAAUCAUGUCAUCCACAUAUACCUCAACUUCUUUGUGAAUCAUGUCAUGAAACAGAGUGGUCAUUCCCCUUUGGUAGGUAGCACCAGCAUUGAUUAGGCCGAACGGCAUCACUUUGUAACAGAAAGUACCCCAUGGAGUGAUAAAAGAUGUCUUUUCUCUAUCUUCAGGAGACAUUUUGAUCUGAUUAUAACCGGAAAAACCGUCCAUGAAGGAGAACACCUUAGAUUGAGCAGUAUUAUCAACAAGCACGUCAAUAUGGGGUAACGGAAAGUUGUCUUUUGGACUGGCUUUGUUCAAGUCCCUGAAAUCAACACACAUCCGGACUUUACCAUCCUUCUUCGGCACAGGCACAAUAUUGGCAACCCAUUCGGGGUACUCAACUGUCAUGAGGAAACCCGCAUCAAUCUGCUUUUGAACUUCAUUCUUAAUCUUGAGGGCCAUAUCAGGAUGAGUCCUCCUCAAUUUCUGCCUGACGGGAGGACAUUCAGGCUUGGUAGGGAUCCGAUGCUCCACGAUCAUAGGGUCUAGACCUGGCAUAUCUUCAUAGGACCAUGCAAAAAUAUCCGGAUAUUCCCGGAGGAGUUGGAUGAUCUUCUGUUUAACCCCUUCCUCUAGAGUAGCACCAAUCUUGAUUUCUCGCUUGUUUUCUUCGGUACCUAUGUUGAUAAGCUCAAUCUCUUCUUGGUGAGGCUGAAUGGCUUUCUUUUCUUGCUCAAGUAACCGAGUGAUCUCAUACGGUAUGUCAUCACCUUCCUCAUCUUCGGCUUCAUAUACAGGGAAAUCAAAACUUGGAGGAACCGUAGGAUUACUGUGUUCAACGGGUUUAUUAUGGUUCAACCUGCAUAUAAUGAUUGGAUGAUUUUAGAAAUAGUUUUUUUUUCAUGCAGAUUUUUGAAAUUAAUAAGAAAAUACAGACGUUUUGGUUUUUUCUGGCAUUACCAUUGUUUCCAAGGGAAAAAGCACUUAAAAAAAGUAGUCGUGGAAGAAACGACAAAAUUUUAUUAAUCAACGGCAAUGCCGAAACAAACAUGCCCUUACAGAAAAUAUCACUCUCGCUUUGGGCAGAGCGAGAGGAUUGUUAUUUUGAAAACAAAGCACUAAAGCAACAAGACACAUUACUCAGAAACAUGCAUGAUUGAAGGAAUGUCAAUGGCAUCCCAAUUCGUCGCAAUGCCUCCUGGUGUAACAAAUAUAGGCCUGAGACCAGAUCCAGUGGCUUCUUCAGAGAUAGCAUUAACAAACCCUGCACUGUGGAAGACUCCCGAGGAAACCCUUGAUGACGGGGAGAACCCGAGACCUUCCUUUCGCUUGUUCUCACAGAGCUGUAUCAUCUUGCCCCAGCCGGCAGUCUGACCUUCUUGGAUGGCUCUCUGAGCAUCCUUCAAUGAAGCCAUAGCAGCCCCAGCUUCCUUAGACUCUGCACCUUCAAUGGUCAAACCUUGGAAAGCAGUCCCUUCAGCAGAUCCUGCUUCAAUACAAGAGAAGGAAGACAACUGGCUGACUAAGUAUGCUUCUUCACCAUGGAUUGUAACGAGUUUUCCAUUCUUCACAAAUUUCAACUUCUGAUGUAAGGUGGAAGUAACCGCACCUGCAUCGUGUAUCCACGGUCUUCCCAGCAGGCAACUGUAGGAUGCAUUAAUGUCCAUCACUUGGAAGGUAACCAAGAAAUUCUCAGGGCCAAUGGUUAUCGGCAAGUCUAUCUCCCCCAGCACGUUCUUUCGAGAUCCGUCAAAAGCUUUGACCAAGAAAGUACUUCUUCUCAAAGGGGUCCCACGGUAGCUCAACUGAUCUAGAGUUGUCUUGGGCAUUACAUUGAGAGAGGAACCGGUAUCCACCAACACAUUUGAUAUCAUGUCUGAUUUACAAUUCACCGAGAUGUGCAAAGCCAGAUUGUGACCCUUUCCCGCUUCCGGCAACUCUUCUUCACUAAACCAGAGGUUGUUACAAGCAGUAAUAUUUCCCACUAUGCCACCGAAACGAUCUACCGUAACUUCGUGGUCAACAUAUGCCUGCUCCAGCACUUUCAACAAGGUAUUCCUGUGAGCCUCAGAGCUCAAGAGUAAUGACAAGACAGAUAUCUUUGAAGGAGUCUGCAGCAACUGAUCAACGAUCUUGUAGUCGCUCCUCUUUAUUAUUCUCAGAAUCUCAUCUAAAUUUGAAUCCUCUAUAGAUUUGCCUGGCUGAUUCACAUCUGUAGCAAUGGGUGAAACAACGGUUGGAGUUGCUUCUUCAACUGGUGGAGUGAUUGGCGUAGCUACCUUCUUCUGAAAUAAUGGCGGACGAACCUUCCCGCUUCUUAGCGCUGCAGAAGUCCCUUCGGCAAUAUUGCUUACUGUGGCAAAGGAGGCUAGAGGUACCUCUACUCCAUUUUCUAUUAUAGUAGCAUUGUACUUAUAUGGCACUGCCUUGUCCGAAGCAUAAGGAAUUGGUCCUGGCAACCUUAUUACCAAAGGCUCAGCAUUCUUCUUCAAAGGUACACUCUUGACAGGCGGAUCGUGAAAAACUGGCACGACCACGCAAACAUCACUGACAGUCAGAAGAUUAUCGUUCAUCGAACUUUGGAUGUCGUCUUGAACAGCAUGGCAACCCAAAGGAUCACGGAGGCAUCCUAGACACUUGGCAUGAUCAUGGCUGAACAGAGAAGCUUUGCACAGCUUGAUAUGUAGAGGCACCAGAGGAGUGACAACAUUGCGGACAUCAAGUCUAGGAGCUUCCUCACACACUUCGAUCAUAUUCACAGCGGCAUGAUUUGGUAGCGGAUUGUCAAGGACAUGUGGAACAUUAUUCUCAAAAGUCAGCUUUCCCUGAUCAAUGAGCUUCUUCACGAUAUACUUCAAAGCAUAACACCCCUCGACAUCAUGACCUAAGGCACCUUGAUGAAAGUCACAUUUGAGAUCAGACCUGAACCUUGGAGGCAACGGAUCAGGUGGUGGCUUGCCCUGUCUAGUCGUACAAUGACCUCUCUGGAGUAAAGUCGGAAGAAGUUCUGCAUACAACAUCGGUAUAGGAGGAAAAGUUGGUCUAGUAUACUGCUGCUGCUGCUGUUGUUGUUGUUGUUGAACCGGCAACUGUUGUUUUAUCUGUUGGGCAAUUGCAUUGACGGGCACUUGAGGCUGGCCCGGUGGCAAAGGGUACUGAUGAUAAAACGGUGGGAAGAACGAAUGCUGAGAAUACGGCAUAUAUGGGUAUGACGGAGGCAUUUGAGCUGUAUUGAUAGGAGCAACGGUAGCUAUAGAUUGACCGGCUCCAGCUGACACCAUCCCCACUUCCGUUUCUUUCUUCUUGUGGUGUCCAUUACCAUAUCUCUUCGAUGCACCCACAGAGGAUUCAGCUUUCUCAAACACAAUGAUUCCAUCCCUGACUGCUUCCUCAAGACGGGUUCCCAUAGUGACCAUCUCCGAAAAGUUGUUCGGGGCAGCGAUGAUCAUCCUCUCAACAUAAUCUUUCUUCAAGGUCUUUAAGAAUGUCUGGGUCAUUUCUUCUUCAUCUAAAGCAGGAGUAAUACGGGCAGCUGCCCCUCUCCACCUUUGCGCAUAUUCACGGAAACUUUCCUCCUUUUUCUGAGAUAGGGACCUGAGAAACUCCCUAUUCGGCUUCAAUCGAGUGUUAAACCCGUAGUGGCUCCUGAAAGCGGUGGCCAGCUCAUCAAAAGUAUGGACAUCGUCUUUGCUCAGACUAGUAUACCACUCUGCAGCAUCCUCCAUCAGACUGUCUUGGAAGUAAUGGAUCAUAAGGGAAUCAUUGUCCUUGUAGUUGCCCAUUUUCCGGACGUAUUUGACAAUAUGAUUUUGAGGACAAGUCAGCCCGUUAUACUUGUCGAACUCCGGGACUUUGAACUUUUUUGGAACAUCUACCUUCGAUACUAAGCAGAGGUCCUGGGUUUUAAUGGAGUCUCCGUUUCCCCUGUUGGCCUUAAUUUCCCGUUGGAGCUCUUUGGCAAGUUCUUCCAUUCUCUCUUCCAUAGUUCCGGUUGUGGCAAUACUCCCGUGGUGCGCAUUAGCAUGGACAAAUAGAGGCACCGCAUUCACAAUGGGCUCGGUAACAGUUGUUGCAGCUUGAGUCAAGGCAGUACUAACAGGAGUUAAGUUUGCCCCUGGGAUUGGGCCAUUGUUGGUAGUACCAGAGGUCCCUGCCCCUGUAUUAGCAGUAUAGUACAGCGGAAGUCCGUAAGGAUACCCGGAUGGCAUGAUAGAGCGGGGAUCAGUUGUUACGGUAGGAGUCACAUUUGCAGCUGUAGAAACUACGGGAACUGGUUGUUCCUGAGCAGCCAACAGAGCAGUCAUAGCAUCAUGAGCUUUGGCCAAUUCCUCCCUUAAAGAUGCCAAUUCGGUACGGAGCUGUGUGUUCUCUUCUUCCAUAGCCCUUUUCUUUCUUCUGUAUUCUCUGGUUCGAUCAAUUCUAUCAGGUUCGUAAACUCUCUGAGCACGAGCCACUUUUCACACUAAGGCAGAGAAACCAGGAGGUGGUAAGCACUCGGAAGCCUUUGUGACCGAUGCAUGAUGCAUAUGAUGCAUGAUAUGCAAAUGCAAAUGCGAAAGACUUAUUUUUUUCAUCGAAGGAUUUUUAAACAAAUUGGAAAUUUUGCAAAUAAUCAAAACUACAUAGCAUUUUCAAAAGGAAGACUUUGAAAUUUCAACAAGAUAAACAAAUGAAGCCCUCAAGCAUAAGAAGUAGUCGGAAGAUCAUCGGACUCGGAAUCUGAAUCACAGUAUCUAUCAAAGAAGUCUCGUCGUCCUCGAGCUCUCUUGGAGUCCCUCAUAAGCAGCUCAUCUUUCUCUUCCAAUUCCUUCCGGGCCUUAGCUAACUCUUUCUUCAACAUUAGAUUCUCAUGAGUCUUCUGCUCAUCUCUACCAUCCAAAGUCAUGAUUAGAUUCUCGGCUUGAUUGUACCGAGCUUUCCACACUUGCUUCUCACGACUCUCCAUAGCUAGAUGCUCCUGAUACAUAUCCUAAGUCGCGGGGAGCAAAGGUAGAGGCAUAGACGGGGUAGACGAAGACACGUAUCUCAUAGCUGGAUAAGGCAUACCAAUCUCCUCAGCUCGAUCUAUCACCCACUGAGUAUAGGCCUCAUGAGCAACACCGGAUCUCACACCUAGAUGCUUCACACUCUUCCUUCGAACCUUGGACCAAGCAUCCAUGAAAGCUUUCCUUUGUCCAGUAGGAGCACUCGUGUAGAAGAAGAACUCUGGAGAUGUAGCAAGAUUGAUGGGCUUCGACUUCAUAGGGAAACCAAACUGUCUCAUAGCAAGCUCGGGAUUGUAGUUAAUUCCUCCCCGAGUACCAAGAAGAGGUACAUUGAGAAAGUCUCCACAACCCAUAAUGAUUUCCUUCACUUGAGCGGCAGGAGUGAGCCAGACGACCUCAUUAGGAGUGAGGGCCAUAAUCCGCUGAGAGUAGGACCAAUUUUCCGAGUUAUCAUGGAAGGAACUCGGAAGGUGCGAAAUAAACCACCUAUACAAAAGAGAUAUGCAGCAAAGAAUAUACCCACGGCCCUUGAGAGUCCUGUCAUGAAUGGCGUGGUAGGCAUCCGCUAGCAAAGUAGGAACCGGGUUCUUGGAAUGAAAGAUCUCGAUAGCAUUCAUGUCCACGAAGUUGUCGAGGUUUGGAAAGAGAAUGAGCCCGUAGAUAAGCAAAGCAAGAAUAGCCUCGAGUGUAUCCUGACGAGUAGUACUGAGAUUAGCCUGAUCAAGAAGAUACUUUGAAGUGAACCCCCGGAUGUGAGACUUGGUAAUAAGAUGGUUGGAGACGUCGGAAGUCUUGAGGUAGAGAUCCUUAGCAAUAACCAGAGGAGUAAGAGAAGUCCCGGGACCGGUGAAAGGCGUCUUCUCGGCUAUAGGUAAACCCACUAGAUUGGAGUAAGCCUCGAGAGUAGGAACCAACUGGAAGUCCGGGAAGGUGAAGCAACGGAAGCUUGGAUCAUAAAAUUGCACUAGAGUGUGCACUAGCUUCUCGUCCACAUCGGUUCGGAGCAAAGUAAGCAAUCCCCCAUACCGGAGUCGGAACCCUGUUUGACUCUUGACCUUGAGUGCCAACUCUCUUAAACUGACCAAAUCCACUUCCUUGAACUUGUAGCACUUAGUCUUCUUCAUACCUGUGAUUAUUUACAAAAUAUUCCAUUUGUUUAGGCCCUUCGAUGAAUGCAUGAAAAAUGUUUAUGCAUGAAUGCAUGUAUGCAUGAUUGUGUUGUUUAGUUACAAAGAACAAGAUGGGUUGAGAUUCAAAGUAACAGGGCUACGGCUGGACACGGCGUCCGGUGAACUAAGGCUUUGGAUAGUAGUAACCAAGGUUCUAACACAGUUCCCAAACUGCAACCUCUCUCACAUAUAUCAUGGUAGUACAGGACGACACCCGUUCCAUGAUUAUUUGUGAGAAGGUCUAGUUUGAGUGUAGUAUCGCGUGACGACUAAAGUUUGAGACAACACUCAAUUUAGCCACCGCACUACGUCCUAAAAAGGCUAGGAUGGGUUUGGUAACUACGGUUCAUAGCUUCGUCGAACAAUUGAAAGUGAAGUGCCUAAGCAUGACAACACACGCCGACAAUAUCACCUUCAAAAUGCCUCAGCUAUGUGAGAUUGAUCGCAUAAUCCAAUACACGAGGCAACCCCCGGAUCGAAUUGUCGAUUAUAUCUCUACCUAAACAUAAGUUCACUCAGCCCGGGUAUAGGACUUUUGAUAUUCUCACCCCCCCCGUCAAAUGAAAGUAAACAAGUAUUCACAUAUGUAAGCAAUAAAACAAAGCGUAAAUAAACUAAGGAAAACUAGGCGUGACCCGCUAAAAAAAUCCCCAGUGAAGUCGCCAUUUCUGUUAUCAUGGUUUUUGGGUGCCAAGCCAUUAAUUAGACUUGUACCUUUCGACCGUUGAUAUCUCUAUUUUUUCUUGGGAAGGGCAAAAUUGAGAAAAAACCCUUAGAUUCUAAGUUCGGGGGCCGGUUUUACUACGGGAAGGUGUUAGGCACCCGGAGUAACUAUAGUCCUCUAUAGGAGCCGUUUUCCUAAGUCUAUAUUCACGCUUAUUUUUACUUACUUUUGAAAAUGGGAGGUUUAUUUAGUUAAGAAUGGGGGGGAGAGAUUGUAAGACUUUGAUUUUAUUUCGGCUUGGAUGAGUUUUGACUCAUUGCCUACGUACCGUUUUACAGGAUCAAAACCGGCGUAGUUCUUGCUAAAAAGACUUGUUUUUCUUUUGUUUUAAUUGUUUGAUUUUAAGUUUUGAAAAAAAGGUUUUGAAGAAGGAGAUUGGGAGGCUUCAUGAGCAUUAGAUUUUAGCAAAAGGUGAAGUUUGAUUAGUGAUUAGAAAAAAAGUCUAAAUGAUUAAGAUGAAUUGAAUUUUCCUUAAGAGAAAAAAAAAAAGAAAGGAAAAAAAAAAAUGAAGUGUUGACUUCAUACUUAUUAUGAAAAUUUUUGAAGUGAAGUUCAAUUGUUUUUUUUGGAAAAAAGAUGGAUUUUCUCUAAGUGUUUAAAACCUAAACGCUUAUUUAACCAUACAAUCCUAUGCAUACAUCUAAGGUGAGUGUGUGCGUGUCGGUGCAUCAUAGUGUCCAUAGUCCAUAUUACAAAAAUUGCCUAAAUACAUUCUAUGGCCCCUUUGCCAAGCUACAAACCAAUGAUAACAAAUUACAUUACCAAAUGAAUUAAAACUUGCAAAAGAUAAAGGCUAGGCUAAAGAAAGUGGAGGGAAUGCUAAAUGGGAUGCAUGAAACAUGGAAAUAAACUUGUUAGUGAAAAGAAAAAACAUAACAAGUACUAAGAAAUAAAAGCAUGCAAGAUGGCACAAAAAGUUAACAAAAUGACAUUAAACCCUAAAAACUUAGGUAUGAAACCUAAAGCAUUCUUGGCCUCUAAUUCUCAUGCUUUAACAAAUUUUGAAAGAGUUUUCUUUAUCUCAAGUUAUAGCAUAGAAUUAUUGGAAACAUGCAAACAUGGUUUCAUGCCACAUUUUCUAGAAUAAACUUGGCAUUUUAUAUCUUUCAAAAUAUGCAUAUAUUGUUCAUAAAAUCAAGCACUCAUGAACCAAAUCAAAACAGCAAAUCAACAUGAAAUUAUUGGCACAAAUCUCUCAUAUUAACACGUCAAGUAGCUUUUAUUUCAUAUUCUCACAUCAAGGACAAAUGUGUGAAGAAGAAUCCAUAACAAAUAAUUCAAAGAGAAUUAAAAUGCUAUGAAUUAAUUAUACAAAAAUUUCAUAGAUCCUUAAUGUUCAAAAAUGUCAUAAAAACACUAAGAAAAUAUCAAGAAACAUGUGAUAAUUUUUUGGAGGUUUUUUGGAGAAAAUUUUAAGCAUGCAGGGGUUCAAACAGCAAAGAAAUAUGGUGCAAAUAGCAGGAAAACAAACAAAAACGUAAAAGAACAAAGCCCAAACCAAAGGCCCAAUACACUAGAAGAUCCGGUUGCACAGGAACCAUACGAUUGAUCCAGGAUUCUGAAACCCUAGAUCAGACGGCCAGGAAUCAAAGGGGGAAUGGACCGGACUGGACCGGUCCGGUUCGCUGGCUUAUAAAAAGGAAGGAGCUCCGGUUUAUUUCAUUUUGCUGCUCUCAUUCUCUCUCUAACUCUUCUCUCUUCUCUCAUCUCUCAUCUCUCACUAACUUCGCCGCCGGCGAGGAUGAAGCUACGGCGGAGACCUUGAAGGUCCGCCGGAAACUUCAUCUUCUCCGGCGAGUUCAUGCAGUUUCCGGUGACCUAAAUUUCCAGAUUUCAAAGAUUCUUACUCCAUUUGAUUCGUCCUUUAACCCUAAACACGAAUCCAGCAGUUGUUUUUUCAAAUUCAAGUCGAAACGAUGUAGAUCUGGAAAUUUGCCGUACGGCUUUGAAUUUGAUUUUGAUUUUUUGAAAGAUAACGUUUAGAUCCUUGAAGAUCUACAUCAUUUCGUUGUUUAACACCUCUUUGAUGUUUGUUCUUGCUUUCAAAACUUAGAUCCUUAUGGAUCUAGGUUUUGUGUUUACGGUUACGGUUUUGGCUUUGAAUUCUGGAAAUUUGGAUCUGUUUUGCUUGCGUGAUUUUUAGGUUUAACAGUGAUAUUGCUUUUGAAAAAGAUUAUGAGUUUUACCUAAGGUUUUGGUUGAAACCUUUAAUGGAGAAAUUCUUUGGAAAACUUCAAUCUCUGAUGCUACGUGAUUUGGCUUUGAAUCCGGAAAUAAACCGGUGUUCCUGCUGGUUUCUUGCUUUAUCGUCUUCUUCGCCGGUUUAAACCUUCAUUAUCUUUCUUUCUUCUUCGUCUUCCUCACUGUAUCUUCGUGAUCGGUGCUGGAGUUUGCCUUUGGCGAAUUCGCACCUUGAAUUGCGAAGAUACUGAUUCAAUGAUGAUGAUUCUUCAAAGAAUCACUGAGAAUCCAUGAAAAAUAGCUUGAAUUUGUGUAGUUUCUGUUUCUGGAAAAGGUUAGGUUUACGCCAUUGAUGAAUGUUGAAGCUUUUUCUGUUUUGAUUUGUAACUGACAAGAGAGAGUGUGACUCUGUGUUUAUGAGUUGGCACCUGAUGAAUGGCUUUGAGUGGCACUGUGCACCUUUUAUAGCAUGACAUGUGUGCCUCUGAACAAAUGAGAAAGUGACACCUGGACCUGGAAAAAAAAAUGACACGGCCUUGGACAAAAAAUCAAAUUUGGACCUUCUUGCAAAAAACAAAACUUAAGGACUAAACUGCAAUUGACCAAAAAAGGACUAAAAUGAAAAUUGGAAGAGAAACUGGACUGAAAUGUAAUUUUGGGACCUCAAUUGAGGGACCAAAAUGUAAUAAAAAAUAAAAUUGAAUAAAACGUAAUUUGACCAAACGUAAAGCGAAACAAAAAUAAAAUUGACAAAACGGACUAAAACGAACCAAUGGCCUAAAUGAGGUACUUCAAAGUAACCUCCCCAUGCCAAAAUUUUAUGCGAAAUGACCAAAAUGCCCCUAGGGCUAAAAAUGACCUAAACAGAGCCAAAAUGACUCGACACUGACUCAGAUGCAAGUUUGAAAUGAAAUUAGCAAGGUUUACUGAUGGAAAGUUAAAAAUGAAUUUGAAAAGACCCAGAGACAGUCACAAGGAUGAAAAUGGGUCCCACUGCAGGAAAUGACCAAAAUACCCUUCUGUAUGACUUUUUUUGCAAAUUUUGAAAUAAACUGUAGAAAAAGCAAUGUAAUGAUUCAGAGACACUUUUGAAUGACUUACAAGACAAGUAAAGACAUUUCGAAAGGUUUUAUGCAAGAAAAACAUAGGUAAAAUUGUGAUUGAAAAUACUGCGAGGCAGAGACAAUUUGAACUGUGCAGUUGAAAUUUGAUAAUUGACAAAGUUUAAAAAUGAAAUUGGGCCCAGUAUUUUUAGGUCCAAAAACAGGGUAUAACAAGGAUGAAGUAAAUGAACAAUGUCAGCUUAUAAUUCUGUAGUGUCAUUUUUUCUAUUUAUAAUGAGUUUUUACUACUAUUAUUAUUUGUAAUAAAUCUUUUCUAAAAAACUUUGUAUAAUUUACUUUAUUUAUGAAUUACAAUAUUUACUAUUUUUUGGGUGUUUUUAUUUUAUAUGAAGGAAUCAUUAGAAAUAGACAUGUAGUUAUUAUUUGGUUGUGGGUUUGUUUGGUCACUCAACUUUGUUCGCAUGAAUUUUGAUCUUAAUCUCGAUGCUAUCGAGUCACCUUUAAAAUGAGAAACCUAAUCAACAAUAUUUGUAGGUGGUUUUGUCAACGUUAUUUUACCAUGCAAUUUUUUUUUUCUCCUAUGAAGAAGACUCUAUUUACAUGUUUAUCUAAUCUCACUAAAACAAUAUUGAAGCCCAUUGCAUAAAAUAUUAACUUCUUUUUUCCAAUUCUCACUUGAUGGUUACAUGUGGCGUUAAGAUUGAUACGAUAAUUUUAUCUUGAAUCACAUUCAAACAGAUGGGUCUAAAGACCACGUUGUUUUCAAUUUUUUUGUUGCCAAGAAUACUAUUGAGGAGGUCAUUAUGAACACGGAAGCACCCUACUCCAUAAAUCUAAUGUAUGGCAUCCUUACGGUGGCUUCAUUCCUUCUAAGUGACUUCAUUCCUUCUAAUGAGUGGUGAGAUAUAGUAUAUUGUCAUAAUAAGAUCGAACAUAUGGAAGUGACUUUCAGAUUGUGACUUGGCUUGCACGUUACGCACAUUUAAACAGACAAAGAUGAAGACAUCUUCAAUCAUUUUUAUUGUAAAAAACUAUACACACAUACUCUUUAGAUAUUAUUUGAUCAUUUGUAUCGUGUUAUUCUAGUUGGAAUGAUUUAUAUAAUCGGUUAUAUGCCAGUGUUGGAUGCAUAUCAUGUUUGACACUAACAAAAUAUGUAUUUUGCGUAUUUUGCUAGUGAAUUGAUGAGUAAUUUUCUUUUUCAAAUGACGAGGUGAUGAUAUGGGGUGCUACGUGUAUGAGAAUAUGAGAUUCUACAAGUGGAUGGAUGUAUAUGACUUAUGACUUGUUUUACUUUUUGAAAAAGAAUAUGGAUUUUGAAUAAUUUAGAUUGUAUUGGGUAGUUUGCAUAUGGUAUUUGUGUAGUUUGGAUGUGUACACCAAAUUACUUGUUCUAGAAAAUGAGUGAAAUAUUACGUUUGAAUCUUAAUAAUAUACAAAUGUGAAGCUACAAAUAGGAAAAAAAUUUUGCCCCAAUCCAAUGUGUCAAAAUUCUAAGCCUCCUACAAUAAAUCAUCAUAUUUUAUAAUCUCAUUUUACCAUCACUUAUAGUAAUAGGGACAACAAAACCAUAACAAUUUCAAAUUUACACAAUAAAAAUAACAUCAAAAUUCAUUUUAGUUCAUAAAAAAUUGAAUGUGUUAAUUUCCCUCUAAGAAAUGUCAUUUUCAAGUGUGUUAUUAAGAAAAAAACAAAUGUUCAAUUUGAAAUGAGGCCCAACUAUGCUAAGCCCAGCACUCAAACUCUCCUCAUUUUCAGAAUCAUUCAAUGCAAAGCAACAGAAAGGGAAAGCUUUCCCUGCCAUCACUGUUUUCACGUUGGAAAAUCUCUCUUUCACGUUGGAGUGGACUUGAGAGAUUUGUUUGUUUGUUUGUUUGAUGAAUUUUCCAUAAAUAUACUUAGGCUACUGCAACUAUUCCAUCAAAUUUAGUACUUAUAUUUUCUUCAUUUUUCUUUUGCUUUAUAGCUCUACCUUGCCACCAUUUUGAGAAGAGUAAUCUGAAAUUGAGAAGAGGAAAGUAAAGGUUGACAUUAAUGUGCUUUGUUUUCAACCUCAUUGGCCUUUCUUUACACAAUGUGAGUGGAUAUCUUCCUAUAAACUUUUAAAUUUUAUUUUUCAUUAGAGGCUCUUCCUAUCCUAAGUUUUUAUUGAAUGUUUUUCAUUUUGUAUUUCUCUCUGUUUCAUUGAUUUCAUGAACAGCUCCACUGCGUCGGAGCAAUCGACACCAUCUCUUUGAAACUGUUUCCCCAUCAUCAUGAGUAAGUAUUCAUCCUUCAUAUUUUGUGCUCAAGUUCUUUAUCUGAUUUGUUGUGUUUUUUUCUUAGAAGUUGUGAAGUUGUUUGUUGUAUCAACUAGAAACAUUUAUCAGUUUUGAUAUAAUGUAACUAAAUUUUGUGAUUGAAAAUAGAAAUUGAAAUUCCAUUUGUGCUAAAGUUCUUUAUCUGGUUUGUAAUCUUGGGAUAUAACUACAGAAACAUUUGGAAUUUUUUGAUUUUUUCUUGAUAAUUUGGAUUGAUUUCUUUUGAUUGUUUAUGGAAGUUUUUGUUUGAGCAUGACAUGUGGCUUCUGUCACGAUUUUGGAGCAUCUGCAAGUUAACAUAUAGAUUUAUACUGAGGGCCUCUGUAAAUUGUAAGUCUUUUGAUUACUUUGUGUCUGUUUCGAGUUCUAAUUGUCAAUGUUAUAACUUAUAGGUUCAUUUAUCUAUUGAAGCAUCUUAGGCAUGUUUUGAUGUCCUUGUUUUUUGGCUGUUUCGGUUCUAUGAACUAAGGAAAGAUCCUAUCUGUAGUUCUCAUUAAGCCUUUAUUGCAACUCAUGUGAUGGAUAUGUAUACUUCAUUAUACCUUCGGAGUCACUAGAGCAACUUAAAUAUAGAUAUUUUGUUGUAUCCCUAGAGCAAUUAAAAGUAUCAUCUUGCUUAUUUGCUAUGAUCAAUGAAAUAUAUUAGCAUGAUACGUACAAGUAAUUAGAUACUUUUAGUAGAUCAUCGUCAUUUUUAAACUUAAAAUUAGAUUGAUGGGAUAGAACAAAAUAACUAUUGGUUUGUGGACAAUCAACCCAUGGGGAUCAAUGGAAGGUUACAAAGCUGAAACAGUAUGUAAGGGUGGAUUUGAGUUCACUAUGAUACGAAAUUGCAACUGUUAUGAUGGGGUACAUGAAUAAGAACCGGUUUUCUUACAUGCAACUGCAACUGUUAUUUUUUUUAGUCUGAAUAUGUCCUUUGCAAUCUUUUUUAGUGAAGUCUUAUAUAAAUCGGGACAUUAGAUACACUUUGUUUAUGGUCAAAUAUGUACAGGCAUACUUAAUUUGAUGUUAGGGUUGUGAAAAGAUUUGAUAGACUGUAAUGUUGGCAUUUACUAUUAGUAGGAUGUUUAAUUUAUUUAUUUUGGACAAAAUUAAUGGUUGUAUAAUGUUGGCACUUGCCAAAUAGUUAUUUGUCGAAUAUUUAAGAAUUGAAUUCAACCUAUCAAAUAACAAAUGAUAACACAUUUUCGAUGACUAAGUUUUCUUUUCCAAUCACGUUAAUAAUUAAUAUUCUUUUUAGACAAUUAUUCAUUAUAUUAGUAUAAAAUUAUUUGAGUAAAGUUUUAUCACCCGUGCUGUUUUAUAUCAUGAUACAAAUAAUUCAUGAUAUGGUUGUAUCAGUUCCUAAAUAUCGGAACAAUUUAAUUUUUGAAUUGACUGCACCGUAACUAUAAUUUCAUAGUAUUGAAGCACUUUGAAACACUGCAGUUUUAAAACUAUUGUGCCCAAACAUGUGCAGGAUUGAUGGCUCCUAUCUCCAGUUAGUGAGAAAUUGGUUUUGAAGUUUGUAGGGUUGAUGGUUAGUGAGACUGGAGGAUAUAAAACAACAUGUUUGUACCGAUGGUUGAUGCUUUCAUGUCUUACUUCAAUAGGGGUAGGACAUUACUUUAAUAACCAAGUAUAUGGAUUUAAAUGGAGUUGUAUGGUUCAUAUUAACUACAAAGACUAUGAUUCAAAUCUGGGAGACUAUAUGUAUUAGAUUUAAUAUCAAAGUCUUAUAUUCCUCAAACAUGGGGCUAUAGAUAUUUAAUUUAUGUUUCUAUUGAUAAUGAAGGUACAAUCAUGUUGAUUUUAACAUUUGUAUUCAAUAUAUUGGAUAUAUUUUUAUUCAUUUAAAUUAUUGAUGAAAUAUAUUAUAUAUAUUAAGUUUUAUACAUUAUGCAUUGAGAAUCAACAUUUGCUUAUUACAAUAAGACAAAUUUUUGUGAUGACAACAACAUUUGAUUUGUCUAAGAAGUGCAUUAUAUGUUUUUAUUUUGAUUGUACGUUCAGAGUAAUAUUUUUUUAACGCCACAAUAAAUCCUUUUUCGCCCGUGCGUUGCACGGGUGGAAAUACUAGUAUACAACAGUUGAGUGGAAUAAAAUGAAAUGCAAUUGGUGUGUAUGUACAAUUUUGAUGGUAAGGAUGAAUGGUUAUUUAAUAUGUUGAGGUGAAAGUUUGAAUACGUAAUGUUUUAUUUCUGUUGAUUUUACUUUACAUUUAUUGUUAUAUUUUUAUAUUUGAAUAUAAAUACAAGAUUGACACUUUUAUAUAUAUAUAUAUAUAUAUAUAUAUAUAUAUAUAUAUAUAUAUAUAUAUUAUUUUUGAGAGAAACAUCUAUAUUAUUGUUAAAUUUCACAAAAUAAUUCAUCAAUUUGCUUGCCUGGUUUAACAACAAUCGGAAAUAUUAUUUGCGAGUAUCUAAUAGGUUCAAAUCCAAUUGAUAUCCCUAGUUAAAAAGGAAUUUAGAAGUGAACUUUAGACCAUUUCAAUGAUUACUCUUUUGGCUUUUCUUUGCUUGUAAUGAGAGUAACAUCACCUUUUCUUCAAACUAUUUGAUCUUCACAUAAAGCCUCUACCACCUCCACAUAUAGUAUGUGUUACUGAAUUUAGAAGCAAAUCAUGCUUUAUACACCUUCAUACCAUAGAAGCCCUCGUCAUCGAAAGCGGGAAGAAAUGAAGGGUGUUUGAUGUAGAGUUUUUAUUUUUUAUAAGCUUGGAUGGAUCAACUCCAUUGGUAUGAGUUUGAGCUAGAAGAAUAAAAUCAUUUGCAUAAUUUAGAAAUUAAUCCCAUAAAUUAUAACCACAUACAUAUUUAGCAAAUCAACAUUCUUUUAUCCCUGUUUGCCAAUUUUCUAUAUUUUUUAUUGAAAAAUAAAAGUUUAGGUGAGUUGUGUCUCGGUCUGAAAGCCAUUUACUAAAUAUGUUAUAGUUAAACUAUCCGCCAAAAGGGAAGGUUAUGUUAAAAUUGUAUCUUUGUUUGUUAUAAUUAGAUAGCUUGGAGAACAAGUUACUUUGCAACUCCAUAGAAUCUUACUAUACACUAGCUGCAUCUAAUCUUAAUUCACUAGAAAGUUUGUUAGGAUCUUAAACAGCUAUAUAUAGCUUGCUGUAACCGUUUUCUUCUCAAUUCUAUGAAUCUAGCUUUUAUCUCAAUUUUCUCUCCUUCUUCUUUGUUAAGCUUCUGCAUUUCUUCAACUUUCACCAUGGAUAUGGUGAAGUUUAACAUGGUAUCAGAGCUCUUUUGAGCUCUGCUGCGCAUCGUUCUUCCUUCGUUUCUUCUUCUUCUUCGUUUUACGAUGGUUCGUGGAAACGCCGCCACUAACGGUGGUGCAAAUGGAGGAGCUAUGAUUCCUCCACCUCUUGAUCCUUCGCAACAACCUGGUAACGUGUAUUACGUUCAUUCUUCCGAUGGUCCUUCCUCUGUCAUUGUUACUCCGGUAUUGAACAACUCAAAUUAUCACUCUUGGGCGCGUUCAAUGAGAAGAGCUUUAGGAGGAAAGAACAAGUUUGAUUUUGUGGAUGGAUCAAUUCCAGUUCCUAUGGAAUUUGAUCCAAGUUUCAAAGCAUGGAAUCGUUGUAACAUGCUUGUGCAUUCAUGGAUCAUGAAUUCUGUUGAAGAUUCUAUUGCACAGAGUAUUGUGUUUCUUGAGAACGCCAUGGAUGUAACACCCCGUUUUCCCAAUAUACAAAUUUCUUAAACAUUUAUCAGAGUAAAAACCAUAAACGGGAUAUCACAUAGAAACGUAAUCCAAAAGCAGUUAAAUAAUAAUUUAACUUCCACAUAAUAUCUUAAUAUAGCAGCGGAAUAUUAGUUCAGAAGUCAUAAAUCAAUUUGGCACGCAGGCCCCAACAAAGUAUCUCAAAAGAGUUAAUCAAAACAGAAAUUAUCAUAGCAGUUCACGUAAAAGAAUGAAGCAUGUUAUAGCAUAUAACCCCAUCCCGUUAUGUAUCAGAGCGACCUAGACAACACAGUGAAGGCAAGGCCAACUCACGAAAGCAAACUGCACACUAAGCACGAUCACCUGCAAGUUACCCAUACGAAGGGCAACAUUUUCAAGCAGAAGGGGUGAGAUUUCAUAAUCAAAUAACAUUAAUCAAUGUAAUUGCGAAUCAUAAAUUAACAUCAUAAUCAUUCCUUAAAUAACAUUGCAUAAUUGCUAAACAGUUAUAACAUAAUCAUAUAUCCAAUUAUCAUGAACAACAUAACAUAUUCGAUAACCACUUAUCACAUAAUCACGUAAUCAAUCAUUAUCAACAAGGCAUCUUAAUCAUGACAAUGCGACAAUGCUCUUAGACUCCUUAUAUGCAUGUGGUACCAAUCGUCAUCAUAAGUAUUAAUAUACUUUAAUCGUGCGGAGGACAAAGCUCCUAUAAAACGUGCGGGGGACAAAGCUCCUAAUAUUCGUGGUGAGGACUAAGCUCAAUGAGAUGCUAUGCAUGGACACUUAUGAACAAAACAUCGUAAUCAACAUAUCAACAUGCAUCCAAUAAUUUGGAGCUAACUUCAUCAUAUACUUAUACACUUAGUUAAAUAACGGAAGCAGCAUAAACAGGUCACAUAAACGAGAUGAUAUUAUUAUAUCAAUAGCACAUAAAUUGCAUCAUUAUCAAGCUUUCAUAUCUUGCAUGAAUAUACAAUACAUUAGUUCAUGUCCAAUUAAUAUCAACAUAACUUAAACAACUCUACAGACUGCAUUAAACGUCAUCAUUAGGUCUUAAUGCCAAUUAGGGGUUCGCUCUUGAUCCACACGUGCGACACAGAUCGUACAAACACUCAAACAAACUACAUCCUGGGCUAGCUCGCGAGACGAAAGUUCUCACUCGCCAUGGCGAGUACCACUCAUCUCCCAAACUAAUGUUGUUCUGGGUUCCCUCUGAUCCUACAUUCAUUCCCAAUCAAUACUAGGUAUGUUCAGGCACUCAAAGGCACUCAAGGUCCAACUAAAAAGGUCGGAACACAAAAUCUAACAUGCACUCUGCCUAAGCUCGCGAGGCGAGGAAGGGUUGCUCGCAAUGGCGAGCUGCAUCACACAACUCGCGAGGCGAAGGGCGUUGCUCGCCAUGGCGAGUUGCACCAAAAAACUCGCGAGGCGAAGGGAAAGGGCUCGCGUGGCGAGCGAUGAAGUUCAUCACUCGCGAGGCGAGGAUCAUCCCUCGUCGUGGCGAGCGAUGAAUAGAAGCACGGGCAGACUACGGGUUUUCUCGAAAAUCCAACAAACAACAUGGUUCAAAGCCUAAUUUUGAUUCCAUAAUCCAUCCUAAACAUGUUCUAAGGUUAAAGGACGGUUUCUACAUCAAUCUAAACAAGUUUUACCGUUUGAUCAUCAAUUUUUAGGGUUUUGACCUAAUUUCCAAACUUUUCUAAAUCAAUCCUAACUUUGUCAUUUAAUCAUCAGAAUUACAGCAAUCAACGUUAUUGAAUUAUUAGUCUCACCCUUACCUUGUUUGAAGAAAAUCGCAGCACUCUUCCUUGGUUUCUCUAGACUUGGCUUUUUCUCCCUUUUUCUCCAAAACAGUCGUACGUACAAUGUUUUUCUAAAACUAGGUCUAACCUUUAUAUACCUCUUCUUAAUUACUUAUUUUAUCUCACUUUCUCCCCCAAAACUAUCUAAAAUAUCAAAACAGCCCUCAACUAAAUAUUUUAUAUUAUUUUCAAAUCUUUAUUUUAUUUAACAAUAAAAUAAAUCCCUUAAUCUUAUCAAAUCUUCCAAAACUCAUAACUUAUCACGUCAUCCAUCAAAUCACCAAAAUCAUCGCAAAUCAUCAAAACAUAUCAAAAUCAUGCAUAUAUUAUAUAAAUAUAAUAUAAUCGCCUAAACUCGAUUAAAUAAGCAAUUAACAAAAGUGGGCGUUACAAUGCAUGUUUGGAAUGAACUCAAGGAACGGUUUUCUCAAGGUGAUUACAUUCGUAUUUCUGAAUUACAAUGCGAAAUCUUUGGAUUGAAGCAAGAUUCGCGUUCAGUUUCUGAGUUUUUCACUACAUUGAAGGUUCUAUGGGAAGAACUUGAAGCAUAUCUUCCCACUCCGGUUUGUGCUUGUCCCCAUCGUUGUACGUGUAAUACUGGUGUGCUUAAUGCUAAGCAUCAGCAUGAGAUUACACGCUCUAUCAGAUUCCUCACUGGUCUCAAUGAUCAAUUUGAUCUUGUACGUUCUCAAAUCUUGUUGAUGAACCCUUUACCAACUCUCAACAAGAUUUUUUCAAUGGUAUUGCAGCAUGAAAGACAAUUUAGAGUUUCUAUUCCUGUUGAUGAGUCAAAAAUCCUUAUCAAUUCAGUGAAUAAGUUUCAAGGGCGAGGACGUGGUAAUGGAAGUACUUCUGGUGGUGCAAAGCGUUCUUGUUCCUUUUGUGGACGAAGUAAUCAUACUGUUGAUACUUGCUAUAAGAAGCAUGGUUUCCCUCCAAAUUAUGGUAAGAAUUUUGCUAAUGCUAACAAUUCCUCCCUUGAGAUGCAUGAAGAAAGGGAGGAUCUUGAUGAUUCAAAAAGCUGCAAAGGAAGUGAUUCUUUUAGCAUGACAAAAGAGCAAUAUGAACAUCUGGUUAAUCUUCUUCAAACUCAACAAAGUUCUUCUAGGAGCAAGGUGAACCAUGUCACUAAUCAUGUGACAUCAGGUAUAUCCACACUUUCAUAUGCUCUGAAUCACUGCAGUUUUGGUUCAUGGAUAGUUGAUUCAGGAGCAAGUGAUCAUAUAUGCUCAUCUAUUAAAGCUUUUGAUUCCUAUCAAUCUAUUAAACCUGUUCAUAUUAAGUUACCAAAUGGUAACAUAACUAUAGCAAAAAUCUCUGGCACAGUGCAAUUCUCUUCAGGACUUGUUGCCAAAAAUGUGUUAUAUGUUGCAGACUUCAAAUUAAAUCUUUUGACUGUACCCAAACUAUGUGUUGAUGAUGAUUGCAUAGUAACUUUUGAUAAUGAUAAAUGUUUAAUACAGGAAAGGAGGAACUUGAAGAUGACUGGUUUGGCUGAUUUGAUAGAGGGAUUGUAUUUUCUGACCACUCAAGCUUCCCCAUCAACCAAACCUCAAUUUGUCAUAGCUUCUAUCAACUCUCAAAGUUCUUCUUUUCUACCUCAAGAAGCCUUAUGGCAUUUUAGAUUAGGUCAUUUGUCCAAUCAUAGAAUGCUUAGCUUAAAACAGUCUUUUCCUUGUAUUAAGAUUGAUGACAAUUCAGUUUGUGAUAUAUGUCAUUACUCUAGACAUAAGAAAGUACCUUUUCAUCUCAGUGUAAAUAAAGCAAACAAAUGCUAUGAAAUGUUUCAUUUUGAUAUAUGGGGUCUUGUUUCUAUUCCUUCUAUUCAUGGUCACAAAUAUUUCAUUACUGCUCUUGAUGAUCACAGUCGUUUUACUUGGAUCAUCCUAUGUAAAUCAAAAUUUGAAGUUCAAAAACAUGUUCAAAAUUUCAUUAUCAUGAUAGAAAAUUAGUUUAGUUGUCAUGUUAAAACUGUUAGGACGGAUAAUGGUCCUGAAUUUCUUAUGUCAGAAUUCUAUUCUUCUAAAGGCAUUGAGCAUCAAACAAGUUGUGUUGAGACUCCCCAACAAAAUGGGAGAGUAGAAAGAAAACAUCAACACAUCUUGAAUGUAGCUAGAGCUUUACUUUUCCAAUCAAAAUUACCUAAACAGUUCUGGUCUUAUUCAGUUUUGCAUGCAGUUUACAUAAUCAAUAGAAUUCCUACUCCUCUGCUGCAAAACAAAUCCCCUUAUUUUCUCAGAUUUGGUAAUAAUUGUGAUUUAAAUGAUUUCAAAGUCUUUGGUUGUCUUUGUUAUGCCUCUACCUUACAUAAUCAUAGAACAAAAUUUGACUCUAGAGCCAAAAAGUCUCUUUUCUUAGGAUACAAGCAAGGUGUUAAAGGAGCUAUUCUUUUUGAUCUUGACACCAAAAUCAUUUUUGUGUCCAGACAUGUAACCUAUCAUGAACAUAUUCUUCCUUACUCUAAUUCAAAUCAACCUUUUCAAUGGCAGUACCAUUCAAAUCAACCUAUAUCUUCUGCCAUUGAACCUAUCACCAAUCUCAACACUAAUCAAAAUGAAUCCACUGUAACCAAAGCCAUUAACCCUGAAGAUUCUGAAACUGAGAUAUCUUCCAACAUUGAACUUGAUGAUCACAUUCAACCACAUUCACAAACUUUACCUGAACCAGAUUAUUUAUCUCUUAGAAAAUCAACCAGAAUUAUACAAAAACCAACCUAUCUGUCAGACUAUGUAUGCAAUCUCUCUAAAGAAUCAGACAAUUCAUCAUCUUCAGGUAUACUUUAUCCUAUCACUCAUUUUCAUUCACUCAAUAGUUUAUCCCCAAACAUCAGAAGUUUGCUCUAGCUGUUACUAAUGCUGCUGAACCUACAAGUUACAAUGAAGCAAGCAAGCAAGAGUGUUGGGUUAAGGCUAUGGAAUCUGAACUUGAUGCUUUGAAACACAAUAAAACUUGGAUUUUUGUGGAUUCACCACCCAAUGUCAAACCUAUUGGUAGUAAAUGGGUGUAUAAAAUCAAACAUAAGGCAGAUGGGAGCAUAGAGAGGUACAUGGCCAGACUGGUGGCUAAAGGCUAUAAUCAAGUUGAAGGCAUUGAUUUUUUUGACACUUUUUCACCAGUAGCCAAAAUUACUACUGUCAGAACUCUCCUUGCCUUAGCAUCAAUCAACUCAUGGCAUCUACACCAAUUAGAUGUGAACAAUGCUUUUCUCCAUGGAGAUUUAUCUGAAGACGUUUACAUGACUAUUCCUCAAGGUGUUGUCAACAUAAAACCAAAUCAAGUGUGUAAAUUGUUGAAGUCUCUUUAUGGUUUAAAGCAAGCCAGCAGAAAAUGGUAUGAAAAAUUGACUAGUUUCUUAAUCAGUCAAGGUUACAAACAGUCUGCUUCUGAUCAUUCCCUCUUCACUCUUCAUUCAGAUCCCAUGUUCACUGCUCUUCUUGUGUAUGUGGAUGAUGUCAUUUUAGCAGGGAAUUCAAUGGAUGAGAUCAAUAAAAUCAAGGUUACCCUUGAUGCAGAAUUUAAAAUCAAGGAUCUUGGUCAACUUAAAUAUUUCCUUGGCAUAGAGGUGGCACAUUCUAAACUUGGAAUUAGUAUAUGCCAAAGAAAAUAUUGUCUUGAUCUUCUUCAUGAUACAGGCUUACUUGGUUCAAAGCCAGUUUCAACACCACUUGAUCCAUCUAUAAAGCUACACCAAGAUACUUCAAAAGCUUUUGAUGAUAUUUUUAGCUAUAGAAGACUUGUGGGAAAACUCUUGUAUCUCACCACAACCAGACCAGACAUAGCUUUUGUAACUCAACAACUAAGUCAAUUUCUAUCAACUCCAACCAUUACUCAUUAUGAAGCAGCUUGCAGAGUUGUCAAGUAUCUUAAAGGCACUCAUGGUCAAGGUUUAUUAUUCAGAAGAGAUUCAAUUUUACAGAUACUUGGAUUUACAGAUGCAGAUUGGGCUGGAUGUCCUGAUACUAGAAGAUCCACUUCUGGUUAUUGUUUCUUCCUUGGAUCUUCCCUCAUUUCAUGGAGAGCUAAGAAGCAGCAUACAGUUUCCAGAAGUUCAUCUGAAGCUGAAUACAGAGCACUUUCUUUUGCUAGUUGUGAAUUACAAUGGCUUCAUUAUUUGUUGAAAGAUUUGGGAGUGUCAUGCAUCAAGUCACCUGUAUUGUACUGUGAUAAUCAGAGUGCAAUACAUAUUGCUGGGAAUCCUGUGUUUCAUGAGAGAACAAAACACUUGGAGAUAGAUUGCCAUUUUGUUAGAGAAAGAUUACAGCAGGGUCUUUUCAAGUUGCUUCCUAUCAAGUCUCAAUCACAACUUGCAGAUUUCUUUACUAAGCCUUUGCCACCUAAGAACUUUCAUUCUUUCAUUUCCAAGCUCAACAUGUUGGACUUAUACCAUGCUAAGCUUGGAGGGAGGGUGUUAAAAUUGUAUCUUUGUUUGUUAUAAUUAGAUAGCUUGGAGAACAAGUUACUUUGCAACUCCAUAGAAUCUUACUAUACACUAGCUGCAUCUGAUCUUAAUUCACUAGAAAGUUUGUUAGGAUCUUAAACAGCUAUAUAUAGCUUGGCUGUAACCGUUUUCUUCUCAAUUCUAUGAAUCUAGCUUUUAUCUCAAUUUUCUCUCUUUCUUCUUUGGUAAGCUUCUGCAUUUCUUCACUUCACCAUGGAAAAUAGGGUGAAGUUUAACAGGUUACACAACGAACAUCCCUCAAAAGGGAGUUAGAGAUAAAAGCAGGAAUUAAAUUAAAAAUUCCACAAGUAACAUAUGAAGAAAACCCCGACUUGGCUACACUAUCCGCCACAAGAUUGACCUCUAUCUCAAAACAUAAGUGAUUUUGACAUAAUCAUAACCGAUACCGAAAGCAAUGCUAUAGAUAAUGAGUAUUGCUAGCAAAACUCAAAAACUCACUUCAUUAUUGGUUCAAAUUAAGGUGGGGCUCACACAUUCGAAAUGGGUUUCACUUAAAGUGUGGGAUAUACACUAGUUUCAUCCAAUAAAAGAAUGAAUGUUAAAGAGAGUAUCCCAAGCAUUACUCAUAAAACAAUUAACUCCGAACCAUACCCAUCCCUAGUAAGCAUAAUUUCAAACCAAGGUUUCAACCGACGGUAAUUAAUUUCUUUUUUUUUUUUAACAAAGAGAAGAAAAUAACGUAAUUAAUUGUUGUUUGUUGGGUCUUUUUUUUUCUUCUUUCUUCCAGGUGCUAUAAUAGUAUAGAGCAAUUAAUUGUCUUAUCUUUGUUAGCUUCAAAACUCCACAAGUAAUAAGGGUAAAUAAGUAAUUACAUAGUAACCCUAUGUUAUCUUUCAAUUUCAAACAAUCUCUUCCACUUCAGUCUUCUUCUUCUUCUCUCACGAUCACAACCACCACAGUCACAAAGCAUUCAGCUUUGUUUUCUGUCAUCAUCACCGAUUCUUCCUCUCAAUAAACAACUAGGGUUCCAUCUUUUCCUCCUCUACUUAAUCCGCUGUGAGCAUUCUGGCUUUUCCUACUCUUUCAUAUUCGCGCACAUAACAUGUUUGUGAAAUGUCCUCUGUGGAUUCUCUGUUUAGAAUAACCCUGCAAGCUCAAAUUUUAACUAUCCUUAUGUUUUUAUGUAAUUAGAUGUUGGAAUAAUAUAUCAUAGUACUACCCUUUGAUGCUCAGUUUUAGAAUCUCUUGCUGAUAACUCUUUUUUCAACCAAUUGAUUGAAAUUCAAAAAACAUUGAAUAAAAGGAACUGCAAGCAAACAUGAAAGCAAAGUCCAACAACAAGUAUUCGAAAUGUGGUGCUAUAAAAUAUCUUUUGUUUGCAAUAAACGACGACUGCAAACUCGGCAUAUACAUUGGACACAAUAAUGAGUUGGUAAGGUAUUUGGAGGAUGGUCGUGAAGAUGAUGUACCUACAUUUACACAAACAAAUAUCAUACUGUUUACCGCGUAGAUUGAGAUAUAUUGGUUAUUAUUGUAUCCAACGUAUCUGUCUCGUCAACGUUUAGUACUGGAGGUCGAGUCCUUUACUCGUUUGGUAGUUAAUUAAAUCUCUACUGUUGAAGCUUUGAUUGCACCCCAAAUUGGAUCAAAUCUCUCAAGGUCAUUGAUUUAGAACUGGUUGAAGUGGGAAAGAUCGAGUAAAGUGUGGAUUCUUUGUUUUAAUUUUCAAAUCUUUUUGAUUAUAUUAUUAAAAUCAAAUUGUUUGUGUUUAAAUUUUAAGGUAUUUGUGAGUGUUGUAUUUAUUUCUUUGUGUUGCUGUCGUCGUCGUUGUGCUUAUUUAAAUUUUUAAUCUUAUUAUGUUUGGUAGUGUUAGGAUUGGAUUCGCUACUGCCUUUUGCAUUUGCAUUUUGUUGGUGUGCUGCUACUAGAUUUGUUGCUACAUGCUGUACCUACUGCUUUUGUUGCUACUUAAGUCUUAAUUUGUAUUUUGAUGUUGUUGCUACUGUUUUUGCAUUCAAUUUACAAUUAAAUCAUGUAAAAUUUUGGAUUUGCAUUCUGUUUGUUCGAGAUUUGCAUUAUAUUUGCUGAUUGCUUGCUAUCAUUUACAACUUCUAGAUUUUUGUGGAAAUUAUGUGUUUUAUGAAGAUUGGUACUAUUAUUAAGUUGGCUGAGCCUUCAAACGAGAAUCAUGAACGAGAGCUUCUUCGUCUUCUUCUAGCAUCAUAGCAAUGGAAAUCGGAAUUGAUUAUUGGAUAACGGUGAAACGGUUCGAAGAACGGUUAUGGAAAAUUGAACGGUAAUAGAGUAAUAGAGAGAACAUGGUUAUGCAGCACUCAAGUGAGGGGGUCUCAAAGUUACCUAUGGUUAUGGAGAAUUGUACGGAUCGAACUUUUCCAUUUUUUUUUCAUUUAUUUAAUUACUAUGAUGUAUAUGUGGCUUUUUCAUGGGUGCCUCAAAGUUGCAUAAGGGAGUAAAGUUAGAGGGUUGGAAAGUGGGUUUUUUUAAUAGGGGAUCAAAAUCGCAACUAUUGCAAGUUAUUUUAUUUUAGGAACAAAUAUUUGAAAGAUGGAGUCUUGGAGCAAAAGAAAGGAGAAUUUGAGCUAAUUCGUGCCAAAAAUAUGAAGAUCUGAUACAAAAAUAUCUUGUGCAAAUAAUUUGAAGAUCUUGUGCAAAAAUAUAACAAGUGGCGGGCCCCUUUUACCCUUUUGCUGCUUUUGCUUCUUCGACAAAGCUGCCUAUUUUAGUAUUUCAGACCUAGAGCCUAUGGUUUCUUGUGCAACACUUUAGUGAUUUAAUUCUUAGGGCUCAAGUCAAUGUUAGACUAUAAAUAGAUCAGUCCCCUAGUUUGUAAAACCAUCUUUUGUUCUUGAAAUAAUAAGUGACAAUUGUUUUCAAUAAAAAGAUCAACCUUUAUUUUAUGUUCUUCUUCUUCUUCUUCUCUUCUAUGUCUACAAUGAACGUGAGUGAGUAGACUCUUCUUGUCUUGGGAUUGUUGGAUAAGUCUAAUGACGUAAUCCUAAUCAAACCAAACCAUAAACCCUAAUUUUAUAUAAAUCCACUUUCUAAUCUAAUUUCACCGUUUUGAUAAUGAAUUAACAAAUACCAAACUCAUAAAGCGAACGCGGAGGGAUAGUAUUUGUUAAUUCAUCAUCACAAAUAUCAAUUCAUAAAAGCGAACACGGAGCUUUGAUAUUGGAACAAGUGAAAUUAGACAAGGAUUGCGAAAUAUGAGAAUAGUCUAGCAAACCUUGAGAAACAUAAAGUUUUGUUCUUCAAGGAUUCUAAUAACAAUCAACCAUGAGAAUAGGCGUGGUUGCUAGAGGAACACACUCAAUGAUUUUGAGAGAAACUUUGAUACGCUUAAGAGAAACUUGUCUUUAGAAAGUAGGUCCAAUAUAAAGUUUAGGUUUAGGGUUUGUUUGUGAAGGAAUUGUCACUAUGACGAACCAAUAAUCCCAAGGCGCUAUUAUUUUAUUAUUAUUAUUUUCUUUUAAUUAAACAAAAAUACAACUUUCUACCUUCUAAACUUUCAAUCUAAUCAUUGUUAAAAGUUAAUUGAAUUCAUAACUCCCUGUCGGAACGAUACUCUUUUUAUUACUUCGAUAGAACCGUGCACUUGCGGUUUUACUCAUCACCCCUGAAGUUGAGGAACACUUGGUAUGUGAGUCCAUAGGAAAAGGAUGAGGUAGAGGAAGGUGAUUGAAUAACCAUAUAUAACAACUACGCAGAAAUGGAAAUAAGAAUAUAGUUCAAGAAUGAAGAAUAUAUUAAUUUGUAAAGAUUUGGCACACUUGUCUAAUCCGCACAUCUGAACCAAUAAAAGGUUUAGAAGGUUGUUCAGAAGUUUCAUCAGAACAAACCCAUAAAUCAUUGUGCAUAUCAAGAACAUGCAAGAACAUACAUGAUAUGAACAUAUCAUAUGCAAAAAAGGAUUUCAACUCUAUGGUAAUUAAAUGAUUAAUGGACUUUGAUGUUCUUGGUAUUUAACAUAUGUUCUUAAGUGAUUAACCAAAACAGGAACAAAGUAUAAAUCAAACCAAGAUUCAAGUGAUCAAAGAACAUUAAAGCUUAUGAACCCAAUAAUAGUUCAGAAGGUUAGUUAGAGUUUAGAAGGUUCGAAGAUAUUUCAGAAGGUUGUUCUAAAGGUUUAUCAAGAAUAAGCCCAUAAAUAAAUUAACAUUAUCAAGAACAUACAAGGCUCACAUGGCAUAAAAGAAAGUGCAUAAAAGUACUAUGACUUUAGAUCAAUCAAGGAUUAAAUGCAUUAAUUUGGAUAAAAUUUAAAAGGAAUAUUAUUCUAAGAAAAAUUAGGAAUAUUCUUCUAAGAAAAUCAUCAUAGAUGUUAUGCAUAGUGCACCUCAUUGAUGCCCUUCAUUCAAGUUCACUAUUAAUAUUUGAUAGCAUCAGAUGAAGAUCAUUAAGAUGAUCACAAAUAUUCUGAAGUUCAAAAGGUCGUUCAGCUACAUGUUUUAUCUGACAGAAAGGUACAAUAGGUGAAAAAGCAAAAAGCAAAAGCAAAAUGCAAGAUCAAUUCAGAUUCAAUUAUAAUUAGACACAUAAGGGAGCAUAUACGUUCAGUAAAAAUGAUUACACAAAUCAACUCUAAAUAUUCCUAAAAUCUUAAAGAGUGUGUAACAUUUCUCUCUUAUCUUUUCAAUGAUAAUCUUCUUCUUCUUUCAAACCUCCAAACCAUUGUAAGAGAAAAUCUCAUCUAGUUUUAAGGGUAUUAAAAUGUUAGUUGAGUAAAAGAAAAGAGUAGAGUCUUGUCUGACUUAGAAAGAAAAGUUGUAAGCCUAUUGAGGCUAGAUAAUACAGUUUUUGCAUGCUAAGGCUAGAUAAUACACUUUGUAAGCCUGCUGAGGCUAAGAUAAUACAGAAGGUAAAGUCCCUAGUGGUAGAAAGUGUAAGGUGCAUGAGUUGAGAAGGUUGUCUCAAGGAUCAUAGUGAACAUCUCACAGUUGUGAGGAGUGGAAUAACCCACAUUAGAUGAACCACUAUAAUUCUCGUGUGUUAUAUUCUUUACCAUUACUCUUUAUUUUUAACAUUAAUAUUUACAUUCACUUUACACACCAUUAUCCCUUUAUUUAUUGUUUAUUACACUCACACUUCUGCAUGUACUUCAGAACAUUCUGAACUUGACCUAGUUUUUAUUUAUUUCAAGUAUCUACUUGAGAAUCACUUACCACAAGUGCAAGUUAAAUUUAAAAAGGGUCAUAAUUAAACCCCCCUUAUUUUGAAUAUUAUUUCCACUUCAAAGAAAACAGAUUACAUAAUGCUAUUGUUGUUCUUGAGAAGAGAAUAAAACAAAUCAGAGAGAAAAGGACGAAGAGAAGAGGAAGGUGGCGUUGUUGUUGUGCCUGUGUUUUUUUUUUUAAUGAAUUUGUAGGUUUUUUUUUAAUAAAUUUUUUGGAUUUGUGAUAAACACCAUGAACUUAUAAGUUAAAGAAGAUGAAGAUGAUGCUGAACAUAUAUCCUAGACAAAAAAAAAAAUAAAAAAAAUAAAAAAAGAAAUUAUACAAUCACAAUGCCACAUAAUAAAAAAUGCUGACUCAGCGCGCCGCAUCACUUUAGUUACCUAGUUAGAUGAGGCCAUGGUCGAUUUAUGAAGAAUCUUGAUUUUACAAUGAUGAAAUCUACUUUUUUACUACAUGAGGUAAACUGGAAAUGACUUAUAUUACAGGGGAUAAAACACUCUUAACCCUAGAAUAUAACAUGGAAGAGUUAAAUUCUUCAAUUUAUAAAAAAUAAAAUGACAUUAGAAGUUUAAAAAGUCAAAAUUUAGAGUUGGUUAUAUUAAAGCAACAAAGAAACUCAAAUGCACAAAUAAUAUUAUAGUGUCAUAUUAAUGUACAAGAGAAAUCCAUAAAUUUCACUCACAAUACAUUAAUGAGCAAAGACGGAGUACCAUGAGUAUUGUAUGCAUACCCAGUACGUGUACUUUAACGUUUUACAAUUACUUAUACUUCAAAGUAUAUUCUGUUUAACUAAUAAAUUGUACACUUACUUGAUUUUCCUCGUAAACAUUACCAUUUAAAACAUGAGGGAAAUUGGAAAUGANNNNNNNNNNNNNNNNNNNNNNNNNNNNNNNNNNNNNNNNNNNNNNNNNNNNNNNNNNNNNNNNNNNNNNNNNNNNNNNNNNNNNNNNNNNNNNNNNNNNUCCCCUCCCCUCCCCUCUCAUCCGCUUCUAAAAAUUGAACCAAACACUUCAAAUUAAAAAUCUUCCCUCCCCUCCAAAACUCUCGAACCAAAUGAACCCUAAAGUGAUCGACUUAUAAUUUGAAACAGAGGAGUAAUACUUAUGGAUCGGAGUAAAGAGUGCAGUGAGUGAAUUGAUGUAAAAUUUAGUUUUUUUCAUGCUAUAAUAUCUAUAAUGACUAUCGGGGUGCUAUUGUUAUUGACAAACUAGUUUACAAUGAAAACAAAUAUUACAAUGGAAACAAAUAUUACAAUGUUUGUGUAAUACACAAAAUUAUCAACCUAUUCGUCCUUCCUCAUGAUGCCCCUAAAGUCAACCUUCAUCCAGUAGAACUACAAUUUGAAGCUUACUGUUUGAUUUUUGAGUUACUGAUUCACAUUUAAUUUCCAUGAUAUUAUUGACGAUUGGUCAAACAUAAAAUAAAACUACAUUUUAAUUGACUUGUUUUAUUUAUUUAUUUAAGUUUUCUCGUUGUUUUAUUGUUUGAAUGGUAACCACAUUUAAGAUAUCAGCAAGAAGAGGUGGUAGUGCAACGAUAUCUACUCUGUGAUUGGUCCACACGCUAUAGGAUGUUGCAAGGAAGUUUCACUUACUACUUUUGUCAUUAGUUUUCUCCUUGUUUUAAAGAAUCCACCUAACAGACCACACAAAUUACUCAUUCAUAUUCUCCAUUUUCAAAGUCUUUUUUCAUCCAUAUUCUUUCAAUUCUCAUGGCUAUGCAAUCACCUUCCCGAGUGUUCCUCAGUUUCAGGGGCAGUGACACUCGCAACAAAUUUACCGGUAAUCUCUAUAAGGCUCUUGUUGACAAGGGAAUUCGUACUUUCAUUGAUGAUAAUGAUCUUGAAAGAGGAGAUGAAAUCACACCAUCACUUGUCAAGGCCAUUGAAGAAUCUAGGAUUUUUAUUCCCAUAUUUUCUGCCAACUAUGCAUCUUCUUCAUUUUGUUUGGACGAACUUGUCCACAUCAUUCACUGCUACAAGACAAAGAGUUGCUUAGUAUUUCCCGUUUUCUAUGAUGUGGAACCUACUCACAUACGAAAUCAGAGUGGGAUUUAUGGUGAGCAUCUUACUAAGCAUGAAGAGAGGUUUCAAAAUAACGAGAAAAACAUGGAGCGAUUGCGUCAAUGGAAGAUAGCUCUUAUCCAAGCUGCUAACUUGUCCGGCUAUCAUUAUAGUCCUCAUGGGUACCCCACUUUACUUAAAACUUGUUUUUCCUUUCUAUAUUUUAUUUCAUUAAUUUUUAUGCCUAAAUAAUCUACUCUCAAAGCUUAAAUAGGAACACAUUUUCUAUUAAUGUUUUUAAAACAAGUGUAAGUUAUUUAUAUGUCAAAAAAGUUAGAAUUGCAUAAUAUAUUCUCAAUACAUGGAUGUGAUUUUGAUUUUAGUGUAUUUUCUAAUUUAUCUUAUUGGACAUGAAUAGAUAUGAAUACAAGUUUAUUGAGAAGAUAGUCGAAGACAUCUCCAACAAUAUCAAUCAUGUUUUUUUAAAUGUAGCCAAAUACCCUGUUGGAUUACAGUCCCGAAUAGAAGAAGUGAAAUUGCUUCUUGACAUGGGCUCUGAGGAUGAGGUCCGCAUGGUAGGACUUUUUGGUACUGGAGGCAUGGGUAAAUCAACACUUGCAAAAGCAGUUUAUAAUUUUGUUGCUGAUCAAUUUGAAGGUGUAUGUUUUCUUCAUAAUGUCAGAGAGAAUUCAAGUCAUAAUAACCUGAAACAUCUCCAGGAAGAUCUCCUUUUAAGAACAGUUAAAUUGAACCAUAAGUUAGGAGAUGUUAGUGAGGGAAUUUCAAUCAUUAAGGAAAGACUAUCUAGAAAGAAGAUUCUUUUGAUUCUUGAUGAUGUUGACAAACUGGAGCAGCUAGAGGCUUUGGCUGGAGGACUUGAUUGGUUCGGUCAUGGAAGCAGGGUCAUCAUUACCACUCGUGAUAAACACUUACUAGCCUGUCAUGGGAUUACAAGUACACAUGCAGUAGAAGAAUUGAAUGAGACAGAAGCUCUUGAAUUGUUGAGGCGAAUGGCUUUUAAAAAUGACAAAGUUCCUUCAAGUUAUGAAGAAAUUUUAAACCGUGUAGUUACUUAUGCAUCUGGCCUGCCCUUAGCAAUAGUAACAAUAGGGGGCAAUUUGUUUGGAAGGAAGGUAGAAGAUUGGGAGCGUACAUUAGACGAGUAUGAAAAUAUUCCCGAUAAAGAUAUCCAAAGGAUACUUCAAGUAAGCUAUGAUGCUUUGAAGGAAAAGGAUCAGAGUGUCUUUCUAGACAUUGCUUGUUGCUUCAAAGGGUGUGAAUGGACAAAGGUUAAAAAAAUACUUCAUGCUCAUUAUGGCCAUUGCAUAGAACAUCAUGUUGGAGUGUUGGCUGAAAAAUCUCUCAUAGGCCAUUGGGAAUAUGACACUUAUGUGACCUUACAUGACUUGAUAGAGGACAUGGGUAAAGAAAUCGUCCGACAAGAAUCUCCCAACAAGCCUGGAGAACGCAGUAGGUUGUGGUUUCCCGAUGAUAUAGUUAACGUUUUAAGAGAUAAUACAGUAAGGAAAACUAAUAUUUAUGAACAAUUUGUUGUUUUAGCUUUAGCCAUGACUUUGAUCAUCCUGCCACCUCAUACUUGUGUUUUUUAUUCACUUAAUUACAUGUAUAUUACUCUAUAUAAUAUUUGUAUUAUGAUUUAUUCUUUUUUUAUUUUGUUAAAAGGGAACUGGGAAUAUUGAAAUGAUAUAUUUAGAAUUUGACUCAACGGCAAGAGAAACAGAGUGGGAUGGAAUGGCUUGCAAGAAGAUGACAAAUCUCAAAACACUUAUCAUUGAAUAUGCUAACUUUUCAAGGGGUCCUGGGUAUCUUCCAAGUAGUUUGAGAUAUUGGAAAUGGAUAUUCUGUCCUUUGAAGUCUCUAUCUUGUAUUUCGAGCAAGGCAAGUGAAAUAAGUUCAUUUUUCAAUUGUGUAUAUUGAUAAUUCUCUAUUAGAUUAUAAUUUUAAUUUCAGCUUAUUUAUUUGUUUUUUAUGCAGGAGUUCAACUAUAUGAAAGUCUUGACAUUGAACUAUUCUCGAUAUUUAACCCAUAUACCCGAUGUCUCAGGUCUUCCAAAUCUAGAAAAGUGCUCCUUUCAAAACUGUGAAAGUUUAAUUAGAAUUCACAGUUCGAUUGGACACCUAAAUAAACUUGAAAUCUUAAAUGCAUCUGGUUGCAGCAAGCUUGAGCAUUUUCCACCCUUACAGCUGCUCUCUCUUAAGAAAUUCAAAAUCUCUCAUUGUGAGAGUCUCAAGAAAAUUACAAUUCACAACUCGAUUGGACACCUAAAUAAACUUGAAAUCUUAAAUACAUCUAAUUGCCUCAAACUUGAGCAUUUCCCACCCUUACAGCUGCCCUCUCUUAAGAAAUUUGAAAUCUCUGGUUGUGAGAGUCUCAAGAAUUUUCCAGAAUUAUUAUGUAAGAUGACAAAUAUAAAAGAUAUUGAGAUAUAUGAUACUUCCAUAGAAGAAUUGCGAUAUUCAUUUCAAAAUUUCAGUGAACUUCAACGGUUAACAAUAUCUGGAGGGGGAAAGCUCAGGUUCCCAAAAUAUAAUGAUACAAUGAAUUCAAUAGUGUUUUCAAAUGUGGAACAUGUUGACCUCAGAGACAACAACCUCUCGGAUGAAUGUCUCCCAAUACUUCUCAAGUGGUUUGUUAAUGUGACAUUUCUAGACUUAUCGGAGAACUAUUUCACAAUUCUUCCCGAGUGCCUUGGUGAAUGUCACCGUCUUAAGCAUCUUUAUUUGAAGUUUUGCGAGGCUCUUGAGGAAAUUAGAGGGAUUCCACCAAAUCUUGAAAGGCUUUGUGCAGACGAGUGUUAUUCAUUGAGUUCCUCAAGUAUA